rnacentral:lncRNA from 1 species
UUGUUUCAUCUUUUUCUUUUAUAAUAAAGAUUUGUUAUUUUUCAUCUUAAUUUUGAUGGAUUUUAUUGAUAAAAAACUUCAACUUUCUUUGUUGUAUUUUUAAGAUUCUUUGAUGGCUCUCAUAUGCAUUCACUAAUAUCAUAUCCAUGCCAAUGAACAAGAUAUUCCAAUCUAUUUUGGCACGACCUUGAGCCAGACUUCUUCCAUCUCAAAUUCUUAAUUAUUAUCUACUUCUAUAGGAGGAGAUGGCAUUUGUCUUCUUUCCAAAAUAUUCAUUGUCUUAUAUGGCUCAAAAAGGGAUAUGUAAAAUUCAAGGUAGAUCUUCAUAGACUUUGGUAGAUGUAAUAGAUAAGCAACAUGAUUGAUUUAUUCACAAAUAGAAAAAGGUCCCAACCUACGAUAGUCCAACUUAUCACAAGAAUGAGUACUCUUAAUAUUGUAAUGAAAUAACUAUACCUUGUCACCUAUGUUGAAUUGUGAUUGCUCCUUGUAAUAGGCAUCCGCAUUAAUCUUUUGCCAUCCUUGAACUUCUUUUAAUUAUAUCUUUAUUGUUGCAUGUAGCUAUGAUAAAUGAUUUGUUAAAUCUUCUGUUACAAGAUUAUCAACUUUUGAAAAGUCAAAAGUAUCAAGUUGUAGAUGAUAACCAUAAUUAGUAAAGAAAGAUAUUUUUUGAGUAGAAGAAUGUAUUAAAUUAUUGUAUGCAAACUUUACCAAUGGCAAAAGAGUUAUCCAAUCAUCUUAAUAAUAGUUGAUAGUACAUCUCAAAUACUGUUUCAAAAUUUGAUUCAUCCAUUCUGUUUGUCCAUUAAUUUGAAGAUGAAAAGCCAAAGAAAGUUUUAUAUCUACCUUUAGAAUCUUCAAUAAGGUUCACCAAAAUCUUAAUACAAAUUGAGUACCCCUAUCCAAUAUAAUAUCCUUUAGCAAUCUAUGAUAGUGAUAGAUAUUAUCAAUAAAAAAUUUAGCUAUUUCUUCUUCUAAAAUAGAUUUUGUACAUGGUGCAAAAUGUGCCAUUUUGGUGAAGCGGUCUACAAUUACAAAUAUGGAAUCAUAUAAACCUGAGAUUGAAAGAUCCAUAAUAAAAUCGAUAGAAACAGAAGACUAUGGUUGUUGUGGAAUAGGUAACAGUUGAAGCAGUCCAUAAAGUCUAUGGCGAAGAGUUUUGGAUCUUGAAUAAGUAUUACAUGAUUAUAUAAUGUCUUUUAUUGCCUUUCACAUUUGUGGAUACUAAAAAUCUCUAGAUAUAAGCUCUAAAGUCUCAUUGUAUCCAAAAUAUCUUGCUGCUGAGAAGUCAUGACGUGCUUAAAGAACAUGUAAAUGUGCUUCUCUUUCUAGAACAUAUAGGCAUCCUUCAAAAUAGAGAAGGUUGUUAGAAACUCAAACUUUGAAAUAUCAUAAGACUUAGAAGAAAGAUUCUUCAUAUCAUAAACAAGAGGAUUAAAGGACAUAUUUAAUUGAACUUGCUUCAUAAAGGUUGAAUCAACAAUCAAUAUUGAUUUUAUUACUCAAAGAUGAAAAUGCUCGGGCUUCAAGAGAAUCAUUCUUUGUUAAUCAAAAGAUGUAUCUCGUCUUUUUGGUACAAGAUAAGAAUGUCUAGAAAGGGCGUUUGAUAGACCUUAUUAUUUUUUGAAUCAAUAAGUGACAUUGAAAUUGAAUCUGGAUAAAGACAUGCUCCAAUGGGCUUGACGACAAUUCAAACACAUAUUGAUAUGAAGUACUUGAGGUUCUUAUGAUCCGUAUACAAAGUAAUUGGACUUGAAGUACCUUCUAGAUAAUGACUCCAUUCUUAAAAUGAAUCCACGAUUGUAAGGAGCUCUUUAUCAUGGAUCUCACAAUUAAUUUUGAUUAUUAAAAAUAUCUUGGAAUAGAAAGCUACUGUGUAGAGUUUAUCAUUUAUUCCUAUUUGUAAUAAUAUACUAUCUAUAGCAGAAUUUGAUGUAUUUAUUUUCACAAAAAAUACAUUGGAAAAGUCGAUGUAAUACAAGAUUGUUACAAAAGUAAAUUCCUUUAAAACAUCAAAUAAUGCUUUUGCUUCUUUAUUCUACUAAAGUUUGUUUUUACAAGUCAAACGUGUAAGUGGAGCUGAAACUUGAAAAAAGUUCUUGAUAAAGAUUUGAUAGUAAUUAGUAAAGUCUAAAAAUUAUUGCACAUCUUGUAUUAUUCUUGAAAUCUUCUAAUCUAUGAUAGUUUGGACCUUCUUGGGAUCCAUCAUAAGGCCAUCAUUGAAAAUGAUUUAUCCUAAAAAGUCAACUUGAGUAGUGUAGAAUAUAUACUUUUUCAACUUAGCAUAUAAUCCUGCAUCUCUAAGUUUCAAUAAUACCCGAUGAAUAUGAAGUUCAUGUUUUUCUGUAUUCUUAGAGUAGAUUAGAAUAUCAUCUAAAUAGCAAAUGAUAAAAUUAUCUAGAAACUCACAAAAAACAUCAUUCAUAAGAUGUUGAAAAGCAGCUGAUACAUUCGUGAAUCCAAAAGGCAUGAAAUUAUAUUCAAAAUGUUCAUACCUAGUUUGAAAAGAAAUCUUCCAUUCUUCUCCUUCUUUCAUACGAACUAAGUUGUGUGCUCCUUGUAGAUCUAUAUUGAUAUAGAUAUUUGCUUGAUUGAAUCAGACAAGAAGUCUUGAAAUCAAAGGUAAAAGAUAUCUAUUUUUUAUGGUGAUCUUAUUAAGUCCUCGAUAAUUCAUACACAUCUGUAGAGAUCAAUCUUUUUUCUUCACAAAUAAGAUAGGAGCUUCAGUUGGGGAUUUAGAAUAGCAUAUGAAGUUCUUUGCAAAGUUCUCAUCAAUGUAUUCUUUUAAUGUAGCCAAUUUAUUUUGCAAUAAGGUAUAGAUUGGUCUGAAUGGUGAUUAAGCUACUUCUUGCAAAUCAAUUGAAUAAUCAUAAGGUCGAUGUUUUGGAAGAAUAUCUACAUUCUUCUUUUCAAAAAUGUCUUGGAAUUCUUCAUAUUGGCUAGGAAUAUCAAUUGAUAUUUUUUCACCAUUAAAAAUGGGCAUGGCAUAUAUAGCAAAAGAUGAUCCUUAUUUUGCAGCAUACAUGGAAGUUCUCGCAUCUAUCAAUAAAGGUUUGGAAGUACUAGACUUUUGUACUUCUACUUCGCUAACUCAAUCUUAGAUUAUACUACCAAAAAAGUUGAGAUUAUGAGAAAUCCAAUCUAUUAGAGGAUUAUAUUUUUCUAUCCACGAUAAUCCUAAAAUAAUCAAAUUAAAAGGAGAUCUUUUUAUAUUAAAUACUACUACGCUAUUAUGAACUUUAAUUAUUACAUCUAAAAAAAUAGUCUCAUAGGUAACAUUUCUAGAAGACAACAAAUGACCAUAUAUGACUUCUACAUGUACGGAUUUAGUUUUUUUGACUAAAGGUAUUUUUUGAUUUUUGACAAAAUCUUCGAAUAUAAAACAGGUUGAGGCUCCUGAAUCUAAUAAGGGAAGGACUUUGUAAUUUUUAGGUCUUAAAUACACAUCUAUUAUAAAACAAUGUGAGGGGUCUGAAGAGAGAAUAGGACUUUUACUAGAUGUUACACAUGAUUCCAACUGCAUGGUCUCCAUUGUAGUUGGAGAAACUCAUUUUUUGACACAUUAUCUUCUUUGGUAAUUGUGUUCCUCAUUUUGUAAUUGCAUUGCUUCUUUGAAUAAUAUUAAGCGAUGUGUUAAGCUUCUCCAUAGUAUAAACACAAAUAUUCUUAGCAACAUCAAGUCUUUUCUUGUUCUGUGAGAGUUUUAAUAUAUAUCAUAUGAAUUUGCAUUGGUUCUGACCUUGAUGAAUACGUUUCAAAAAAAUUAGAAGCUGGUGCCAUUAUUUGACUUGUUCCUCUCUAGCCAAGUCUUUAUUCAUGAUGUCUUUCAAAUAAUCAAUUAUUGCAUGCAAUAGCUUGAGCAAUUAAUUAUUCCAAAGAUUUUUUUUUUUGGCAUUGUUAAUAUCAAAUCUUUGAUACUAUCUUUUAAUCUAUAUCAAAAUUGAUUGAUAAGUGCUUUGUCAUUUCAAUCUAUAUUACAAGCAAGGUUUUGAAAUUUAAUAGCAUAUGUGGUGGCUGAUCAUGAUCCUUGUCGUAAAAAUAAGAGUUUGGUCUCUACUACUCAUUUUUGAUCACUUUCUCUAAAUGUCGCCAUAAAUACAUCUAGAAAUGAAUUUAAAUUAUAAAAAAGUCACAAAUCUUUUUCCAUUAAAAGUGUAAACUAAGAAAGAUCACUUCUUAAUAGAAAUGUACCUAUGAAUCCAACUGAGGUAAAUCCAUCAGGAUAUUGAAAACAGUGCAACCUUAGAUAGAUCUUGACUUCUUGCAAAAAUCUUCAAAAUUUUGAUCUUGCUCCAUCAAACUUCUCAAGUAUACUAAUCCUUGUGUUAGGGACAUAGUCCUUAGACCUUUCUAGAGACAAGUUUCUAGAACCUUCUAGAAAGAAGUCUCUAGAAACUUCCAGAAGAUUCCUUCAAUAUUCUCUUAGAAUAUUCUUUAAAGAUUCUCUAAAGAUUCUUUAAAGAUUCCCUAAAGAUUCCCUUAGAAGGCUCUAGAAGAUUCUUAGAAUAUUCUAGUAGAUUCUAAGAAGUUACUUGAGAAGCUUCCUAGCUCUUGGGUAGUUGCUCGAGAAGCUUCAUAGUUCUUGGGAAGCUUUUUGAUGCACUUCCUUAGAACCAUAGGCCAGUAGUAUAUAUAGGAGUCGAGGCUGAAGAGUUCUUCAGUCUCGACAACACAUCUCUUGAAGCUCUAGCUCAAUUCUCUUGGCGUUGCUCUUGUACUCAUCUGAUAAUCUAGUUCUUGUCAUUUCUUCUUGAACUUCUUGUUUAGAUUUCUUGUUUGUAUUUUUGGUCCAUGAUAGUUUGUCGAGACUACCUUUAUCUUAAUAUCAGAGCUGAAUCCUUCUUGUUUGAGAGCGGAUUACCCCUCUUCUUGAAGGUACUCUAGCGCUUUAGGGGUUGCGGAUUACCUUCCUCUAAACUGAUAUUUUCUCAAUCACAAUAUCAGAGCUUAGUUCUUUGAGGUAGAGAGUGGACUACCCCUUUCCUUGGAGAUACUUGAGCGUUCUAAGGGUUGCGGAUUACCCUCUCUUGAACUGAUAUUAAUUCCUUCUUUUUGUUUAGCAUAGCUAGUAAAAAAGACUGUUAACAUCGAUUUCAGAGCUUUGCCUUCUUGAUAGAGUGCGGAUUACCCCUCUUCUCGAAAGCAUUGAGGCAUUUUUAGAGGUUGCGGAUUACCCUCCUCUAAAACUGAAAUCGUUUAGUGUUUUUUUUCUUUUCUCCGAGUAGGUUUUAGUGACAGGUAGUGCUACAAUUUUCUCCAAGAGACUUAGCAAUUUCUUCUUCUCUCAAAAUUUUAAUCCAUCUAUUCUCUAAAUAUGGAAGUAGACCAGGUCAUAGACAGUGCAUCUCCACAAGUAGACAAUAGAGUGGCAACUCUUGCAGAUCUUCAAGCUCUUAUGAAUAGUGUACGAAAGGAGAUUGCAUUUCUUCGCAAUCCAAGUAAAGAACCUCAAAUUGAUCUAGUGAUCGAAGAAGCUAGACGCGAAAUUCAUAGCCUACAACAAGAAAUUAUUCGACUGAGAGAAGCAAGACAUGUGUUACAUACGACCCCUAUGGAUACUUCAAGGAUUAGUACGAAAGAACCAAAAGCGAGUAUGCCAGACAAGUUUGACGGAACAAGAGCCAACUUCCGAGGUUUUGUGCAACAAGUACGGCUUUACCUAUGCCUAUACCCUUCUCGUUAUCCGAAUGGAUUUACCCAGGUUGCUUUCAUAGGUACUCUUCUAUCAGGAAAUGCUCGCUCUUGGUUUGUUCCACUAUAGGAGAAGGAUUCUCCAAUAUUGUACGACCUAGAGGCUUUCAUAGAGAGACUUACUGCUGCGUUUGGAGAUAGCGAUCGAGAAAGAGUGGCUAAAAGAAAGAUACAAAAUCUGUGACAAGGAUCACGUUCUGUUGCAAUCUAUGCUGCAGAAUUUCAACAGCUUACAUGUGAUCUUGAUUGGAAUGAUAAGGCGUUCAUGACACGAUUUCGAUAUGGACUGAGAGAUGAUGUCAAGAACUUAUUGAUCACCAUGCCUAAGGCGGAUACUUUAGAAGAACUUAUAUCUCAGGCAAUUAUUUGUGACAACCGCCUCUUUGAAUUACGACAAGAAAGACGAUCAGGCUGGAGAAAUGAUGGAGCAUUUGCUACAUUUUCAAAAGGUCCAGAGAAUCACUCCACAGAUCCUGAACCCAUGCAAAUUGAUGCGGUACGUUUCAAACCCCUCACAGCUGAGGAAAGGAAGCGACGGUUUGAACAAAACUUGUGUUUAUAUUGCGGAGAAGCGGGCCAUAAAGCUGUAGAUUGUCGGAAGAAACAGAAGCCUCAAACAACAAGACUCAGGAGUACAAGCAUGCAGGAAAACAAGGACGCCCAGCCACAAUAGGGACCGUGCGGCUGGACAUCUCAACAUCCAAAAUUAAUCAAGGUCCCUUUCUCUCAGCUCAACCUUCACAUUGUUUUAUGGUACCUUUACAUCUGGGUAUUCAAGAACUACAAGUCGAUGCUUUAUUAGACUCGGGUGCAUCCGCUUGCUUUAUAGAUGAAGAGUUUGCCAAGCUUCACAAUAUUUCUCUUAUAAAGAAACUUAAGCCUGUCCAUGUAGAAGUCAUAGACGGACGACCAUUGUCUUCGGGCAAUGUUAUCCAUGAAACUAAACCAUUGAAGGUACGUCUUGAAAACCAUGAGAGCAAUAUUGUGUUUAAUGUUAUCAAGACCCCUUUAUGUCCUAUCAUUUUGGGAAUAUCUUGGCUUGAUAGAUAUAAUCCAUUGAUAGAUUGGAAGUUGCGAAAAGUGACAUUUCCAACAAACUCCUUGAAGGUGGAAUCUGCCAAGACAAUGUCUAGAAACAAAUCCUUGUUUAUAUGUGCAAGGGCUUUCAUGAAGGAAGCCAAGCAAAAUACACCUCUUGUCAUCUUCACAACUCCGACUCGAGAAGAUGCAACUCCGACUUUGGUUAUUCCAAAGCAGUAUGAAGAAUUCAAAGAUGUCUUUGAAAAGAAGAAUGCUGAUAUGCUGCCAGAGCAUCGACCCUAUGACUGUGCCAUUGAAUUGCAAGAAGGAGCACAACCACCUUUUGGACCAAUCUACAAUUUAUCGCAGACGGAGUUGACUGAGUUGCGGAAGUACAUUGACGAGAAUCUAGCCAAGAACUUCAUCCGUCAUUCGAAGUCGCCAGCUGGGGCACCAAUCUUAUUUGUCAAGAAGAAGGAUGGCUCACUACGGAUGUGCAUGGACUAUCAAGGUCUCAACAAGGUGACAAAAAAGAAUCGCUACCCACUGCCUUUGAUCUCUGGUCUUCUAGAACAACUUGGGCGUGCAAGGAUCUUUACAAAGAUUGACCUAAGGGGAGCUUACAACCUUGUGCAAAUCAAGGAAGGAGAUGAAUGGAAGACAGCGUUCCGAACAAGGUAUGGCCAUUUUGAAUACAAUGUCAUGCCAUUUGGUCUUACUAAUGCUCCAGCGGUCUUUCAACACAUGAUGAAUGACAUCUUUCGAGAGCAUCUAGACGAUUUUGUUGUCAUCUAUCUAGAUGAUAUUUUGACAUUUUCUAAGAACGAGGAAAAACAUGAGAAGCAUGUUCGUCUGGUACUCAAAAAACUAUGGGAGCGAGGACUCUAUCCCAAAUUGGAGAAGUGCUUAUUUCACCAAACUGAGAUGGAGUUUUUGGGAUUCAUCGCGACUACGGAAGGCUUGAAGAUGGAUCCAAAGAAGGUGGAAGCAAUCAUGUCCUGGGAAGUUCCGAAGACGGUUAGGGACGUACAAUGUUUUCUUGGAUUUGCUAACUACUAUCGGAUCUUCAUCAAGAAUUAUUCUCAAGUUGCUGCCCCCCUCACUCGGUUAACGUGUAAGGACAAGCUCGAAUGGGGACCUAUCGCAGAAAAAGCAUUUCAAGAUUUGAAGAUGGUAUUUAUUACAGCUCCAAUCUUUGUACAUUCGGACUUUACAAAGGCCUUUUAUUUGGAGACAGAUGCUUCGGAUUUUGCUUUGGAAGUUGUACUUUCACAAAUGGGCUUAGAUGAGAAGCUCCAUCCAGUUGCGUUCUAUUCUCGAAAAUUCUCUGCUGCUGAGAUCAACUAUGAGAUCCACGAUAAGGAACUCCUUGCUAUAGUAGAUCCUUUCCAAGAGUGGCGCCACUUUCUCGAAGGAAUUGCACAUCCAGUGACCGUAUAUACGGAUCACAAGAAUUUGGAGUAUUUUAUGUCGGCUCAGGUUUUGAAUCGGCGUCAAGCUCGGUGGAGUAUGUCGCUAUCCAGAUUCGACUUUGUUAUUACUUAUCGGCCUGGGAAGCAACAAGGGUUGUCCGAUGCAUUAUCAAGGAGAUCAUAUCUCGCGCCAAAGGCUGGAGAUGCAGCAUUUGAUCAACAGUGCACGACAUUGUUGAAGCCAGAGAAAUUUCGGCUCAACGCAGCUAUUGUACCAAUUGAUGUUGACUUCUUCGACCAGGUACGGGCCGCAACCAUUGAAGAUUCUCUAGCCCUUGAUAUCAAGCAACAUGCUAGUGAUGAUAAAUUCAAGAUGGAAGGAGAUCUAGUAUAUUUCGAAGAGCGGUUGUAUAUCCCAAAAGGGCCAGCACGACUCCGAGUUCUUCAAUCUCGUCAUGACUUUCCAACUGCGGGACAUUUUGGAUUCAAUAAGACCUUGGAACUUAUUUCCCGCAAUUUCUGGUGGCCUCGAAUGUGGAAGGAUGUGAAAGAUUUUGUUGUAUCUUGUGACAUUUGUUCAAGAUCCAAAAACCCUCGACAUCGGCCUUAUGGACUUCUACAGCCAUUGCCUAUUCCGCGCCGACCAUGGUCUUCGGUUUCCAUGGACUUUAUUACGGAUCUACCACCAUCGAAUUCAUUUGACAGUAUUUUUGUUGUCGUAGACCGGCUUACAAAGAUGGCGCAUUUUGUCCCUUACAAGAAGACAUCGUCAAGCAAAGACACAGCAAGACUCUUUCUUGAUAAUGUGUAUCGAUAUCAUGGUCUACCAGAUUUUGUCCUAUUUCUUUUUGAGAAAAGUCUCACUUACUCUUUAGCUUUCAUCGAGUUCUUGUCCUUGACAAUAUCAAGCUUUCGGACAUACAUAUAAUUACCUAUAUGAAUAGAUAAAAGUAUGUAAAAGUAGAUAAAAGUAGGUUAAUUGUGUAAUAUCUUCUAGAGACAAGUUGAUUGGGCCGCAUAUCUACCGCUAGCCGAGUUCGCAUAUAACAACACCCUUCAUGCAUCAACUCAACAAACGCCAUUCUUUUCCAACUAUGGAUACCAUCCGAAGCUUGACUUAUGGAGUUCGUCAACGAUUAACAAUCCGACAGCUGAAGGAUUGGUGAAGGAGCUUUCGCAGCUUCAAACUACAUUGAAGCUUCAAUUGCAAACUGCCCAAGAAUCUUACAAGGCGUCUGCGGACAAAUUUCGGAAUCAGGCACCUAAAUUCACGAUUGGAGACAAAGUUUGGCUGCUUCGACGAAAUAUUAAGACCAAGCGGCCAUGUGACAAAUUGGACUAUCGGAGAUUGGGACCAUUUGUUAUCCAGAAGCAGAUCAAUCCUGUAGCAUAUCGUCUGGAGUUACCAGCUACUAUGAAGGUACAUCCUGUCUUUCAUGUUUCUUUGUUGGAGCCUUAUCGAGAAUCGUCUUUUACUGGAAGAGUACAAUGUCCACCACCUAGCAUAGAAAUAGAGAACCACGAGGAAUACGAGGUGGAAAAGGUCUUGGAUUCACGGCAAAGACGGGGUAAAUUAGAAUACUUUGUGCAUUGGAGCGGUUACGAUAUUAAUGAACGAACAUGGGAGCCGGCCGAAAAUCUCGCGAAUGCGCCGCAAAAGGUACAGGAGUUUCAUCGACGAUAUCCUGAGAAAUCCAAGUCGGUUCGACGAUAGCUUCUUACUGAAGCUUGUUCAUCCAGAAAACAAAAAAGAGGAGAAAGCACCACCAAAAUCCAUAGUUGAUGUAGUCAUUCUCUCCUAGAUAGCGUAGAACUUUGUUAGUAGUCCAAGUUUGUUCUUAUUGUUUUAGCCUUUGAAUAUGGAUAGCCAAGAUACUACACUUGUCAUGUCAUCUCAAGCAACUAGCUCACGAAGACGACCGCGAGAUGAAGAACCGCUUGCACCACGACGACGUCGAAGGAUUCCAAGCAACAGAUCGCUGGUGAUUGUAAUUGAGGUCGAGCUUGCCUACAAUGGUCAGCCAGAAGGAGUGUUUGCAGGACAAUUUCACAAUGAAGACACGGAGGUUCAUGCUUGGUGAGAAGUUGAAGGCGUGGGCCACUACCGUUGGCUUCAAAGACCAUUGAAUCACUUGCCUCGUGAACAACAAUUGGAGUUCAUAGCAGAGGUUAUGCGACAGAUCUUCAUUUUCUUGCGUUGGUAUUGACUGACGAUAACAUUGCUUCUCGGAGACCUCGAAGCUAAAGGAAGAGGUGAUGUUAGGGACAUAGUCCUUAGACCUUUCUAGAGACAAGUUUCUAGAACCUUCUAGAAAGAAGUCUCUAGAAACUUCCAGAAGAUUCCUUCAAUAUUCUCUUAGAAUAUUCUUUAAAGAUUUCCUAAAUAUUCUUUAAAGAUUCCUUUAGAAGGCUCUAGAAGAUUCUUAGAAUAUUCUAGUAGAUUCUAAGAAGUUACUUGAGAAGCUUCCUAGCUCUUGGGUAGUUGCUCGAGAAGCUUCAUAGUUCUUGGGAAGCUUCUUGAUGCGCUUCCUUAGAACCAUAGGCCAGUAGUAUAUAUAGGAGUCGAGGCUGAAGAGUUCUUCAGUCUCGACAACACAUCUCUUGAAGCUCUAGCUCAAUUCUCUUGGCGUUGCUCUUGUACUCAUCUGAUAAUCUAGUUCUUGUCAUUUCUUCUUGAACUUCUUGUUUAGAUUUCUUGUUUGUAUUUUUGGUCCGUGACACCUUGUCCCCAUCAUACUUGUAGAAGCAAAACUCCCUAGAUUUGGUUUUGAGAUUGAUCUACUUGCUUCUUUCAAUUGUAUAACUUCUUGUUGCAAACUCUGAACUUCUUCCAUAGGUGUAGGUAUAGUACCUCCAUGAUUCACGUUAGAAAUACGUGAGAUUUACACUCUAAGAGUAUUGACAAGCUCAUGAAGAUCUACAAUAGUUGUAAAUCUAUUCUCACUUCUGGUAGGUGUAGGGUCCAUAAUCUUUCCUUAUAUAGGCAACUCAAACAAAUCCAAAAAGCUAAAUUAGAGGAAAGUAAUCCGUAAUCUCUAAUAAAAAAUUUCACAAAGAGUGAUAAUCCACUCUUUUUAAGGAAAGAUCAAUAUUAAAAAAUAAGAUUUAUUUAUUAUUUUUUUUUAUUUAUUUAAGAGGUGGAUAGUUUACAACCUUCAAAAUACAACAAUAGAAGUGAAGUGAUCCACUCACUUCUAAAACAAGACAAAAACAGUAUGUUAGCACUCUUGUCAAAUUGGCAUGGACAUGAAUCUCAAAGAAAGAGAAUCCUUGAUACACUCUUGUGUCACUAAAGAGAACUAAAAAGUCUCUCAAAAGGUAAUGUAAUAUUAACUAGAAUGGCUAUUGUCAAAAAUAAGAAGAUUAGAAAGUCUUGAAAAAGACUAAGGACUAAAACGGCAUUAACAAGAGUGAAGAAGGCUUCAUUCUUACCUCCAUAUAUACUCUUAACUAAGAGCUACAUGGCGAUGUUCUAUAGAACAUCCAAAACAUGUUGACUUUGCUAGCUACAUGUCUUAACUUGCAAGGCAAGUUAUCUAUAUAUGCGCCACAUGCUCUGCUUGUUCCACAAGCUACUAUGCGGAGUUAACUUGAUCCACAAGCUAUCAACACGUGGUUAACUUGUUGGCCAAGUUUUCAACCUACAAACACAUCUAAAGUCAAAGCUACGUCUAUGAAGCUUCUAGGAAGCUUCACUAAAAGAAUUUAUAAAAUUAAUCUAUAUUUAUCUACUUCUACUUAAUCAUAUAAGUAAUUAUUGAAAUAAAUAUAUAUGUCCAUGAUAAUAAGUAUAAGAAUAGGAAUUUUGUGGUUAAUAUUGUUAAUAUGUGAAAUUUCUAUCUAAGAAUUUUAAUAAUCUUAUAAAGGUCUAUUAAUGUUACAAAUCUAUUCAUACUUUUAUUAAGUAUAGCAUCUAUAAAAUAAAAUCUAAUUCAAACAACUUAAUAAAUCUAUAAGUCAAAUUACAUGAAGGUAAUCCACAACAUCUAAUAUCAAAUGAAAUUUUUUACAAAGAAGAAUAAUUCACUCUUUUUAAGAAAAUAUUAGUAUUAAAAAGUUUAAUUUUAAUUCAAGAUCAAUAGUUUGCAACCAUUGAAUUACAACAAUAGAAGUUGGAUAAUCUAGUCACUUUUAAAAAUAAAGAAAGAUAAUAAAUUAAUACUCUUUUUAAUUUUUCAAGGACAAGAACUUAAAAAAGAUCUAUAAAUAAGUGAAAAAUAAAUCAAAGAGAGAUGACAAACUAGAAAUAAGAAAGUAAAUAUAUAUUUAAUAAGAAACUACAAUGGCUAUUGCCAAAGGCUAAAAAAUUAGAGACUCUUGAAACUAGAGUAGAAGCAAGAAAAAAAUUGAUAAGACUAAAGAAGGCUUCACUCUUGCCUCUAUAUAUAGUAUCUACCCAAGAGCUAUAUGGCAACAUUCUAUAAGAUCUUUAACUUAUGUCUAAUUUAUGAGACCAAUGUCUUAACUUGUAAGAUAAGUUUCUUAUAUGUGCACUACCUUAUUAGCUUGUAUCACAAGCUACCAAUAUAUGUGAGACAUUACUAAAUUAUUGGCCAAAUUUUUAACCUAUCAAUCACCUAUAGACAUGUAUAAAAAUGAAACUAUAUCUAUAAAGCUUCUAAAAAAGCUUUUCUAGAAGAUAUUAUGAUUUUUUUUUUCUAUUUCUACUUAUUCAUAUUACUUAAAUAACUACUAAAAUAAAUAUAUUUAUAACAUGAUAUUAUUAUAGAUUUUUCUAUUAUUAUUAUAAUUUACUAUCAUUUUUUAAAUUUUUUUAAAUUUUUUUAAUAUAAUUAAAAAAUAUAUUUUUUUAUCAUAACAACUUAAAUAACUAAGUUAAAAAAACUCAAAAUAAACUAUGUUUAUAGUGGUAUUUUUUUCUUCAUUAUUUUAAAAACAUAUGAUCUUGAUCAAAUUUGGAAAAGUACAUUGUGAAACCAAUAUAUAAUGGAAACUUGUGCCAUUAGAUACAAAAAAGUAUUUUUAUAUUCUUGUGCAUUUCUAUGAAUUUUCUAAGUGCCUUUAUGUUCUUGUAAGUUCUUAUACAAUUCCUAAGUUUUGAUAGGUUCUUGUAUGUUUUCUUUGCAUUCCAUGAGUUUCCAUGCAUUUCCAUGCGUUCUCAAGGUCUUAUUGAUUCUUAUAAGUUCCAUGAGUUUCCAUGCAUUUCCAUGCGUUCUCAAGGUCUUAUUGAUUCUUAUAAGUUCCAUGAGUUUCCAAGCAUUUCCAUGCGUUCUCAAGGUCUUAUUGAUUCUUAUAAGUUCCAUGAGUUUUCUAAGUUUUUGUAUUUUUUUGUAUGUUUCCAUUGAUUCUUAUGCAUUUUCCAAAUUUGAAUUAAUUUUUUUUUCUUCAUUUCCUUUGCACAUGAAAUUAUAUAUUUUAAAAAGAUGAAAAUUACUUUUAGGUCUAAAUUUUUUAAAGCUUGUACUGUACUCAAUCAACCAAGUUUAGGAUAUUAAAAUAUUUCUAUAAUGACAAUUAUAUAUUUAAAAUAAUUGAUGAUAUUCUCAAUUUGAUAUCUUAUAAAAAUAGUGAGAUAUAGUUCUAGCAAAAAUCCAUGCCAUUAGGUACAAAAAAAUAAUAAAAAGGCUUCUAUAUCUCUUUGUCAUUUAAUUAAGCUUUUUUAUUAUGUAAAAUAUAUAAUUUUAUCUUAAAUAAUAAAUAUUUAUAUGUAUAAUUAUAUUUUAAUAUUUCUAUUUUUUCUAUUUUAUCAUACAUUUAAAAACCAUGUAGGGCCAUAGUGCUUAAGAUCCCAGCCAUGUCCAUCCUUACAAAAAUACCUCCAAUGUCACAUAACAUCCCUAUAUCCAACCCCCAUCUUGUGCUUUUUUCAUGUGCUUUUGUAUUCUUUCCUUCACGGCAAAUUAAAAGUUCUUUUUUGUUUUUUGUAUUAUAUCCAUGUUGUUUUAUAUAAUAAAUAUAAUUUAAAGAAAUUUUAUAUAUUUUACAAAAUCAUAUCUUAUAAUUAGUCUUGUAAAUGAAAUAAUUUUUUAUUGAAUUAAAAAAAAAUACAAAAAUUAUUAAAAAUAUAUAGAAGUUUGUUGCUUUGUAAAUUAAAAAAAAAAUACGCUUAAAUUUUUAUAGGCAUUCAAUUAUAUCUUACAUUUAUUGAGUUAUUAGUCCAUUUUUAUAUUUAUUCUUUAUGAUUUAUAUUUUAAAAACUAUAAAAGAUGUAAUUAUAAUGAAAAAAAGAAUGUAUAAAAAAUACAUAAUAAAUAUUUUUAAAAGUAUAAAUUUUACUAUUUUUAUUAAUAUAGUAUUUUAUCUUAAAAUAAUCUUUGACAUGGUCUAAAAUAGAAUGGAAAAAUAUUAUAAUUAAUAUUUUUAAAAUAUCAUUUACUUAAAUUUGAGAUAAUUUUUUUUUUUUUUUCGUUUUACUAAUCAAAAACUUUAAUAUAUUGGACUUAGUAUGGAAAAAAAUUUAAGUUUUGUGUUUGCCGAUUUUAAAUAUUUUCUUUAUAGCCAAUCAAAAUAUUUUUUUAUUUCUUUAUGUUAUAUCUAAGUGCCUAAUAUAAUAGAUAAUAAAAUAGUUAUUAUGUAAGUUAACAUAGUCUUAAAAAAAUUGGCAAGAAAUACCUCAGUCUCUAUUUUCAUUAUAUAUAUAUAUAUAUAUAUAUAUAUAUAUAUAUAUAUAUAUAUAUAUACAUACAUAUAGUUAUAGUGAUCUAUAUGCAUAUUCAUGGCAAUGAUAAAAAAAAAUCUAAUAAUAAAUUUUAAUAUCAAUAAUGUGGCAUAAUAUCACAAAGUAAAAUCAAGCAAGAACCUUAAAUCAUCUACAAAGCAAGGAAUAACGACCAAAUAAGAUCUUCAUUCAUCUAUUUUUCAUCCAAAAGACUUCAAAUUGAGGAUCCUAUCUUUGAAUAAUACAUAUUUAAAAUGUAUAAAUAAAUAUAUCAUGGUCUCAAAUCAAGUGGGCAUAAUGCAAGCAUGAGGCUCUGAUUUUGUUUGCUAAGAGAGUAAAGAAUGGCAAAACUCAAUUUUAUUAGUAUUUUCAAUCUUGACCUUAUCUUUAUUUCUAUUGAAUUUAUUUGUCCUAUUGUAUUAUUGGAUUAGUUGCAUUGUAUCCUUAUUCUUUUUUGUUGCAUUGUCUUCCAUUGUAUUUGCUUCAUUCUUCUUUGUUGUCUUAAAGACUCUUCAAUAACUCACAUGUUUUAUAAUUAGUGUUCUUUUUCUUCAUAUUCUUUGUUUUGCCAUCCUUGUAGUUUUAACUUCAUAGUGUAUUGAUGAUGGUGCAAUCAUGUAUUGUUACAAAUAAUUUUUUUAGGUUUGUUUGUAGAGUAGAUAAAGAUUUAUUGAUAUUAUUUGUAUAAGUAGAAUUAGGAAUAUUUGGUAUAUAUAAUCUUGUUUUUUGGUAGAUUGGAUGAAGUUUGUAAAUCCUUUGCAACAAAUAUCAUUAAAAUUUAUGACUUAUAAUAUUAGCCUACUCUACUUUUAGAACAAAAAUGCAAUCUCUACACAUAAUACUUAAAAUCCUAAGAACCUUGAUUACAAAUUCAAAUAGUCACUUUGAUUUUUUGCUAUUUAGUGAUCUUAAAAAUUAAUGUAAGAAAUGAUAAUAUUAAAGGUCAUAAUUAGGAAAGAAAAAUUACAAAAUAAAAUAAAUAAAUAGAUAAAAAUACAUAGAAUAAAUAUAAGAUUAAAUAGUGACUAAAAAAAUAAACAAAUGGCUACAAUGUGCAUUUAAAUUUUACACCCAAUUGAUCAAAUUUCUUCAAAAAAUAGAUGAUUUGUUAUAAAAAUAAAAAAGAAAAUAAAGACAACUUAGUUCCUUGAUUAAAAAAAAUAUUUAUUUCUUAGGUUUAGACAAAGAUGUACUUUGUUAGAAUAAUCUCCCAUCCAAGGUCAUUACUAUGUUCAUAUUCAAAGGUUUCACCUAAUUAUUAUUAUUAAAAAAGCAUUGCAAAUAGUUGAAUUCCUAAGGACUAUUAAUCAACUAGUUUUUGGUUUUUUUGUCUAAGAAUCAACACAUUAUUCAAGUAAUAUUUUAAAUUGUGUAUAAUGAUUUAAUAAAGACUUGACAAAAAAUUGCAUGAGAUGCAAGGAGACAUAGAUAUGACAUAGUGCAGCUUUGCAAAUCCAAUCAAAAAGCAAAGUUUGAUAUAGUUCAUUGUGGAGGUGUAUAGGCAGCAUAAGUAGAGCAAAGUAUCUACAAUUGGCCAAUGGCGACAAUAUUUUUUUGUUCCUGUUACUUACUUGUUCAGUGGGAUUUUUUUGAUGGAUUCAAAUACAUCAAUUAAGAAAAUUUAUGAUAUUGAAUUAUUAUAAGUUAUUAGUAAAAAUUAUUACUUAAAGACCAAAUAUUAUUGUAUAAUUGAUGGAAUCAACUAUAAAAUGUAUAAAUUUUAAAAAAUUAGAUAUAAAUUAACACCAUUUAAUUCAUUGAAUUUAUACAAUACAUAUUUUAGUACAAAUCCAUGUAUCACCUAUAGCUAUGUAUAAAGUUGAUAUCAUGUCUAUAAAGCUUCUAGGAAGAUUUUUUAAAAGAUAUUAUGAAAUUAAUCUACUUUUAUCUAUUUUUAUUUAUUUAUAUUAUCUUAAUAAUUAUUAAAGUAAAGAAAUAUGUCUCUAAUAUCAUCUUUUUUUUUAAGAAUAAGUCCCAUAGAAAAUAAUGAUCAAAUAUUAAUAAAUUCUAAGAUACUAUGAUUUGUAUUUGUACAUAUUAUGAUUGUUGUUUUCUUUAAAGGUAAUUGAUAGGUCUUCUUAAUAAUCAAUAAUGUCCUAUUUUAGGACAAAAAAAUCACCUUUUUAUUUGAUCAUUGUUGAUACCUUCAUAUCUUUUUUUAAAUAAAAUAUUUGUGUCAAGGACAAGAACUCGAUGAAAGCUAAAGAGUAAGUGAGACUUUUCUCAAAAAGAAAUAGGACAAAAUAGAAAUAUGUAUAUUAAGAAAGAAACUGGAAUGGCUAUUGCCAAAAUACAAGAAAACUAGAGACCCUUGAAACUAGACUAGAAGCAAGAAAGGAGUUGACAAGAGUGAAGAGGGCUUCACUCUUGCCUCUAUAUAUACUAUCUAACUAGAAGCCACGUGGCGAUGUUCUAUAAGACCUCCAAUAUAUGUUGACUUUCUAGGCCACAUGCCUUUGCUUGCAAGGCAAGUUUUCUAUGGAUGGACCACGUAGUUAGCUUGUUCUUUAAGCUUCCAACAUGCGUGGCACAUGGCUAACUUGUUGACCAAGUUUUUAACCUAAAAGUCAACUAUAGACUCCUAUAAAGUCAAAACAGCGUCUAUGAAGCUUCUAAGAAGCUUCUCUAGAAGAUAUUACAUAAUUAACCUACUUUUACAUACUUUUAUCUAUUCAUAUAGGUAAUUAUAUGUAUGUCCGUGACAUUACCCCCCCUUCUAGGGACGAGUUCCACGAGGAGCGGUGACUCUAUAUUGAGAAAAUCUAAUAUGCGGCGAAUUGUAUUUGCUACAUACUCUGAUCUUUGUUCUCUUCGAAGAUAGUUGAUGGGUCCUCUUAGCCAUCGAUAGUGUCCCAUUCCAGGGCGAGAAGACCACCCUGUUAUUUGAUCACUGUUGAGGCCUUCAUAACUUCCUCAAUCUUGUCUCUUUUAUAAAAGAGGUUUUCAUCUUGGUUUUGAUGGAUGUCGUUGAUGAAAAACUUUGACUUUAGCUGAUGCAUUUGCUAGAUUCCUGGAUGGCUCCCAUGUGCGCUCACUAAUAUCAUAUCCGCACCAAUGAACAAGAUAUUCCAGCUUAUUUCGGCGCCGCCUUGAGUCUAAUAUCUCUUCCACCUCAAAUUCUUCAUUAUUAUUUACUUCUAUAGGAGGCGGUGGCAUUUGUCUUCUUCCUUGUAUAUCCACUGUCUUAUAUGGUUCAAGAAGAGACACGUGGAAUACAGGAUGGAUCUUCAUUGACUCCGGUAGAUGUAACCGAUAUGCAACUGGGUUGAUCUGUUCAGAAACAGAAAAGGGGCCAAGCCUACGAUAGUCCAAUUUGUCACAAAGUCGAGUGGUCUUGAUAUUGCGACGAAGUAGCCAUACCUUAUCACCCACGUUGAGUUGUGGUUGCUCUUUACGAUAUACAUCUGCAUUUAUCUUUUGUUGUUCUUGAGCUUUCUUCAACUGCGCCUUCAUUAUUGCAUGUAACUCUGACAACCGAUUUGCCAUAUCUUCUGCUGCAGGAUUAUCAACUUUUGAAAAAUCAAAAGUAUCAAGUCGUGGAUGAUAGCCAUAAUUGGCAAAGAAAGGUGUUUGUUGCGUGGAGGAAUGUAUCGUAUUAUUAUAAGCAAACUCUGCCAAUGGCAGAAGGUUUGUCCAAUCAUCUUGUUGGUAGUUGAUGGUAUACCUUAAAUACUGUUCCAAGACUUGGUUUACGUGCUCUGUUUGUCCAUCAGUUUGAGGAUGGAAAGCUGAAGAUAGCUUUAUGUCCACUUUUAAAAUCUUGAAAAGAGUCCUCCAAAAUCUCGACACAAAUUGAGUUCCCCUAUUCGAUAUGAUAUCUUUAGGCAAUCCAUGAUAGCGAUAGAUAUUAUCAAUGAAAAGCUUAGCUGUUUCUUCACCUGUGAUAGAUUUUGUACAUGGCAUAAAAUGUGCCAUCUUGGUGAAACGAUCUACUAUCACAAAUAUAGAAUCAUAAGAUCUUGAGUUUGGAAGAUCUGUGAUGAAAUCCAUAGAAACAGAAGACCAUGGUUGUUCUGGUAUAGGUAAUGGCUGAAGAAGUCCGUAAGGUCGAUGUCGAGGAAUUUUUGAUCUUGAACAAAUAUCACAUGAUUGUACAAAGUCUUUGACUGACUUCCACAUUUGUGGCCACCAAAAAUCUCUUGAUAUGAGUUCCAAAGUCUUAUUAUAUCCAAAGUGUCCUGCUGCUGGAAAGUCAUGACGUGCUUGAAGAACACGCAAACGUGCUUUUCCUUCUGGAACAUAUAGGCGUCCUUCAAAAUAUAAUAGAUUAUUCUUGAACUCGAACUUAGAAGAAUCAUGAGACUUGGAAGAAUUAUUCUCGAUAUCAUGAACAAGAGGGUCUGAGGACAUACUGGACUGGAUUUGCUUGAGAAAAGUUGAAUCAACAGUCAAUGUUGAUUUCACUGCUCGGAGAUGAAAUUGCUCCGGUUUCAAGAGGACCGUUCUUUGUUGCUCAAAAGCUGCAUCUCCUUCUUUUGGUGCAAAAUAAGAACGUCUAGACAGGGCAUCGGACAAAGCUUGUUGUUUUCCUGGCCGAUAAGUGAUAAUGAACUCGAAUCUUGACAAAGACAUACUCCAACGAGCUUGACGACGAUUCAACACGCGUGCUGACAUGAAAUACUCGAGGUUCUUGUGAUCUGUAUACACAAUGACUGGACUAGAAGCACCUUCUAGAUAAUGACGCCAUUCUUGAAAAGAAUCCACGAUUGCAAGAAGUUCUUUAUCGUGGAUCUCAUAAUUGAUCUCGGCUGCUGAGAAUUUUCUUGAAUGAAAAGCUAUCGGAUGAAGUUUGUCAUCUGUUCCCAUUUGUGAUAAAACUGCACCCAAGGCAAAAUCCGAUGCGUCUGUUUCCAUAAAAAAUGCCUUGGAAAAGUCAACACGAUAUAAGACUGGUGCAGAGACAAACGAUGUCUUCAAGGCUUCAAAUGCUGCUUCCGCUUCUUGAUUCCAUUGGAAUUUAUCUUUACUAGUCAAGCGUAUAAGUGGAGCUGCAACUCGUGAGAAGUCUUUGAUGAAGAUCCGAUAGUAAUUGGCAAAUCCCAAGAAACAUUGGACAUCUCUUACAGUCUUUGGAAUCUUCCAAUCCAUGAUUGUUUGGACUUUCUUAGAAUCCAUCAUAAGACCAUCAUUUGAAAUGAUGUAUCCUAAAAAGUCAACUUGAGUAGUGUGAAAUACACACUUUUCCAUCUUGGCGUACAAUCCUGCAUCUCUGAGUUUUUGUAAUACUUGACGAACAUGUAUUUCAUGUUCUUCAACAUUCUUAGAAUAAAUCAGGAUAUCGUCUAGGUAGCAGACGACAAAAUUGUCUAAGAAUUCACGAAAUAUAUCAUUCAUGAGAUGUUGAAAAGCAGCUGGUGCAUUCGUGAGUCCAAAAGGCAUGACAUUAUAUUCAAAAUGCCCGUACCUGGUUCGAAACGCAGUCUUCCAUUCAUCUCCUUCUUUGAUCCGUACUAGAUUAUAUGCUCCUCUUAGAUCUAUUUUUGUAUAGAUCUUAGCUUGAUUUAACUGGUCAAGGAGUCCUGAUAUCAAAGGUAAUGGAUACCUGUUCUUGAUUAUGAUCUUGUUGAGUCCUCGAUAGUCAACACACAUUCGUAAAGAUCCAUCUUUUUUCUUUACGAAUAGAAUUGGAGCUCCUGCUGGAGAUUUUGAAUGGCGUAUGAAAUUCUUCGCUAAAUUCUCGUCAAUAUAUGUCUUGAGUUCAGCCAACUCAUCUUGCGAUAAACUGUAAAUUGGUCCAAAUGGUGGCUGAGUUCCUUCCUUGAGAUCGAUUGAACAAUCGUAUGGGCGAUGCUCAGGAAGAAUAUCUGCAUUCUUUUUCUCAAAAACGUCUUGAUAAUCCUGAUAUUGACUUGGAAUGCCACUUGAAGUCUUUACGCUUUCAGAAAUAGGUGCAGCAUAAAUAGCAAAAGUUGAUCCUUCUUUUGCUGCGUGUAUAAAUGCUUUUGCACCUAUAGGUGCGAGUUUUACUAUACUAGACUCAUGGUUUUUUACUUGGUUAAUAGAACUGUUACUAAUGCUCUGAGAAAAAUCAAGUUUACGAGAAAUCCAAUCUAUUCGAGGAUUAUACUUUUCUAACCAUGAUAAGCCUAAAAUUACUGGAUUAGAGGGAGAUCUAAUUAUAUUAAAAAUUACGCAACUACUAUGACCAUUUAUUACUACAUCUACAGGAAGUGUUUCGUGAGUUACAUCUCCAGAAGACAACGGACGACCAUCUAUGACUUCUACGUGUACAGGUUUAGUUUUUUGUAUGAAUGAUAUUCUAUGACAUCUAGCAAAUUCUUCAUCUAAAAAACAAGAUGAGGCUCCUGAAUCUACCAAGGCAGAGGCUUUGUAAUUAUUAGGUCCUAAAUGCACAUCUAUUAUAAAACAAGGAGAUGGUUCUGAGGAGAGGAUAGGACCUUUAUUAGAAGUUGUACAAGAUUCCAGCCGCACGGUCCCUAUUGUAGCUGGACGUACUCGUUUUCCGACAUACUGUCUUCUUUGACAGUCGUACUCCUCAUUUUGUAGUUACGUCGCUUCUUUGGACAAUGUUGAGCAGUGUGCUUAGGUUCUCCACAAUAUAAGCACAAUCCUUCUUGUCGACGACGAGACUUUUCUUGCUCAGUAAGAGGUUUGAAACGUACCGCAUCAAUUUGCAUAUCCUCUACUUCUGAAGGUAUGUGUUGAGGAGACGACGGUGUUGCCAUUGAAUUGUAGUAACGUUGAGGCCCACUUGUGCGACUCUCGGAUCGAAAUUCAAAAAGUCGAUUGUCGCACUUCACAGCAAAGUCAAUUGCUUGACUCAAUGUUUGAGGAUCAGGUAAAUUAAGCAUCAAUUUCUUUACCUCAUAUUGUAAUCCGUAGAGAAAUUGACUCAGAAGUGCGACAUCAUCCCACUUGAUAUCAGUUGCAAGUUGUCGAAAUUGCGAAGCAUAUAAUGUUACUGAUCGAUUGCCUUGUCGCAAAAUACGGAUCUUGUUGGUUGCAACACGAAUUGCAUCAUGUUCUCCAAACAUGGAUCGAAACUCCGCCAAAAAAGCCUCCAGAUUAUCCAAUAUUGGAUCUCGUCGUUCAAGAAAAGAUGAAAACCAUGACAAUGCUGAACCUGAAAGAAGUGUACCAAUGAAUCUUACUUGUGACCCUGGAGUUGGAUAGCUCUGGGGUUGAAGUUCAAUCACUAGUUGGACCUGAUUGAUGAAUCCUCGAAACUUGGAUCUGGUACCAUCAAACUUCUCGGGCAAGGCAACUCUCGGUUCUCUAACACUCGAAGGGUGUUCCAUUCUGGGAGAAGGGACAUGGUUUGGUGCAGAUGUUGAAGCAGCCCCAAUCAUCUCUAUAUCUUCACUUCCUACCAUUCUUGUUGCUCCUUGUGGUGGUAAAUUGAGUUGAUGCAUCGCAAGCAUUAACUCCCUCAAUUGUUCUUGCAUCUGUGCCAUUGCACUCUUCAUUUCAACAAGCUCUGCCAUAGUAGCACUUAGAAAAGAGAAGAUGUCUAAUAACGCUCAAAACAAAUAGAAGAGAGGAAUUGAUAACAAAGAAAAUACUAAGAACAAUAUCAGUUUAAAAGAGGGUAAUCCGCAACUUCUAAUGCGCUUAUGUCUUAUCAAGAAAAAGGGAUAAUCCACUCUUAAUCAAGAAAAGACAAAGCUCUGAUAUUGUAAGUGUACUCUUGUCAAUCUGUCAAGGACAAGAACUCGAUGAAAGCUAAAGAGUAAGUGAGACUUUUCUCAAAAAGAAAUAGGACAAAAUAGAAAUAUGUAUAUUAAGAAAGAAACUGGAAUGGCUAUUGCCAAAAUACAAGAAAACUAGAGACCCUUGAAACUAGACUAGAAGCAAGAAAGGAGUUGACAAGAGUGAAGAGGGCUUCACUCUUGCCUCUAUAUAUACUAUCUAACUAGAAGCCACGUGGCGAUGUUCUAUAAGACCUCCAAUAUAUGUUGACUUUCUAGGCCACAUGCCUUUGCUUGCAAGGCAAGUUUUCUAUGGAUGGACCACGUAGUUAGCUUGUUCUUUAAGCUUCCAACAUGCGUGGCACAUGGCUAACUUGUUGACCAAGUUUCUAACCUAAAAGUCAACUAUAGACUCCUAUAAAGUCAAAACAGCGUCUAUGAAGCUUCUAAGAAGCUUCUCUAGAAGAUAUUACAUAAUUAACCUACUUUUACAUACUUUUAUCUAUUCAUAUAGGUAAUUAUAUGUAUGUCCGUGACAAUUUGUUAUAUCAUCAAGAAUUAUUUCUACCUUGAAUAAAGUCACCAACCAUCGAGAGUUUCUCUUAAGGUUGUGAUAUCAAAUGCAUUUUAUCUCACUAUUUAUUCAAUGAAAAACAUGUCAUUUUUGAAGAUCUUCAUCUUGAUUACAUCAUUUUGAAGGCUAUGACAAUCAUAAUAUUUCAUCCAAUAGGUCAAUAAAUAAUAUUUUUUUAAUUGAAUUUUCUAGUUGUAGAUUUUCUAUCUUAUUAAUACCAUAAAAUACAAAGAAUUCAUAAUAAAGUAUAAAAGAUAGAAUGUAAUUUCUAUUAAAUAUUUUUUAUUUUAUAGCAAGGAAUUUCUUGACUCUUUAUCUUGAUUUUGAUGGAUAUUGUUUAUGAAAAUAUUUAAUCUUCUCUCUUUAUUUAUAAGAUUCUUUGUUAAUUUCUAUGUGUGUUCACUAAUAUUGUAUCUACUUUAAUGAACAAGAUAUUUUAAUUUAUUUUGGCAGUGCUUUGAGUCUAAGACUUCUUCUAUCUCAAAUUCUUAAUUAUUAUCUAUUUCUAUAGGAGGCAAUGAUAUUUGUCUUUUUUUAGGAUAUUAAUUAUCUUAUAUGGCUCAAAAAAAGAAAAAUAAAAUAUAUAAUGGAUGUUCAUAGAUUUCAUUAGAUGUAAUUAACAAAUAAUUACAUUGACUUAUUUACGUAUAAAAAAUGGUUCAAGUUUAUGGUAAUCCAACUUGAUACAAAGACAAAUAAUCUUGGUAUCAUAACAAAGUAAUUAUAUCUUAUUGUCAAUAUUGAAUUGAAGUUAUUCCUUGUGAUAUAUAUAUGUAUUGAUUUUUUAUUGGUCUUAAAUUUUUUUUAAAGAUAUGUAUUUAUUUUUAUAUUUAGCUCAAAUAAAUAUAAAAAGAUAUUUAUUGAAUAGAAGAAUUUAUUUUAUUAUUAUAAGUAAACUUUAUUAAUGGCAAAAAAAAUGUCUAAUCAUUUGAUUUGUAGUUGAUACUAUACCUCAAAUAUUGCUUCAAAACUUGACUUAUGUACUUUAUUUAUCCAUCAAUUUGAAAAUAGAAAGCCAAAAAUAAAUUUAUAUCCAUCUUUAGAAUCUUGAAAAUAUUUUCUAAAAUCUUAAUACAAAUUGAAUCCUCUUAUUUGAUAUAAUAUCCUUGAACAAUCUAUGAUAGCAAUAGAUAUUGUCAAUAAAAAAAAAUUCUAUUUCUUCACCUAAAAUAGAUUUUAUAUAUGAUACAAAAUAUACCAUCUUCAUAAAAAAAAUCUUCUAUUAUAAAUAUAGAAUUAUAUGAUAUUAAAAUUACUAGAUCUAUGAUAAAAUCUAUAGAAAUAGAUGACGAUGAUUGUUUUGAAAUAGAUAAUGGCUGAAAAAGUCCAUCAGAUUGAUAACAAGGAGUUUUUGAUUUUGAAUAAAUAUUAUAUAAUUAUACAAGGUCUUUGACUACCUUUUAUAUUUAAGGCCACCAAAAAUCUUUGAAUAAUACCACUAAAGUCUUAUUAUAUCUAAAAUAUCCAAUUAUUAAAAAAUUAUGAUGAGUUUUAAGAAUAUAUUAUUAUAUUUUUAAAAAAUAUAUAAUUAUUUUUUUAAAUAGAUUAGACUAUUCUUAAAGUCAAACUUAGAAGUAUCAUGAAAUUUUGAAUAAUUUCUCUUAAUAUCACAAACAAGAAGAUCAGAAGAUAUAUUUAAUUGAACUUACUUAAAAAAAUUUGAAUCAACAAUUAAUUUUGAUUUCAUUGAUUAAAAAUGAAAUUCCUCUAGUUUAAAGAAAAUUGUCUACUGUUAAUCAAAAGUUGAAUUUCUUUUUUUGGUAUAAGAUAAGAUUAUUUAAAAAGAGCAUUUCACAUACCUUAUUAUUUUCUUAGACAAUAACUAAUCUUAAAUUCAAAUCUUGAUAAAAACAUGAUCUAAUAAGCUUCAAAACAAUUAAAAAUAUAUGCUGAUAUAAAAUACUCAAGGUUCUUGUAAUUCAUAUAUAUAUAGUGUUUAAAUUAAAAAUAUAUUUUAGAUAAUAGUGACAUUCUUGAAACAAAGCUAUAAUUGUAAGAAUUUGUGUUGUAAAUCUUGUAGCUACUCUUAAUUAUUGAAAAAAAAUUAAAUAAAAAAUUAUUAGAUAAAUUUUUUUAUUUAUUUCUAUUUGUAAUAUUAUAGCAUCUAAAGCAAAGCUUUGUGUGUCUAUUUCCAUAAAAAAAUGGCUUAAAAAAAGUGUCACAAUAUAAGAUUGAUAUAGAAACAAAACUUGCCAUCAAAGCUUCAAAUAAUUCUCCCACUUUUUAAUUCCAUUGAAGUUUAUUUUUACAAGUCAAACAUAUAAGUAGAGCUAAUUUUUUUUAAAAAAAAUCUUGAUAAAGAUCCAAUAGUAAUUAGCAAAUUCUAAAAAAUAUUUAACAUUUCUUAUCAUUUUUGAAAUCUUUCAAUCUAUAAUGGUUUGAAUUUUUUUAAGAUCCAUUAUGAAUUCAUCAUUUAAAAUGAUGUAUCUUAAGAAGUUAAAUUGAAUAGUAUAAAAUAUAUACUAUCUUAGCAUAGAGUCCUAUAUCUUUUAGUUUUUGUAAUACAAUGAAUAUGAAGUUUAUUUUCUUUUACAUUUUAAGAGUAAAUUAAGAUAUUUUUCAAAUGAUAGACAAUAAAAUUAUCCAAAAACUCUCAAAAGACAUCAUUCAUUAAAUGUUGAAAAGUUGUUGAUACAUUUGUAAGUCCAAAAGGCAUGACAUUGUAUUCAAAAUGUCCAUACCUAGUUCAAAAUACAAUCUUUUAUUCAUCACCUUUUUUGAUGCAUAUUAGAUUGUAUAUUUCUUGUAGAUCUAUUUUUGUAUAGAUUUUAACUUGAUUUAAUUGAUUAAGAAGUCUAAAUAUCAAAGAUAGAGAGUACUUAUUUUUAAUGGUGAUCUUGUUAAAUCCUCAAUAAUUUACAUACAUAUGUAAUGAUUUAUUUAUUUUUCUUUAAAAAUAAGAUUGGAGCUCUUAUUGGAGAUUUGGAAUGACAUAUAAAAUUUUAGGCCAAAUUCUCUUUGAUAUACUCCUUAAAAUUAGUCAAUUUAUUUUAUGAUAAAUUGUAGAUUGGUCCAAAUGACAAUUGAAUUCUCUCUUGAAGGUCAAUUGAGUAAUUAUAGGAAUAAUGUUCUAAAAAAAUAUAUUUAUUUUUUUCUCAAAUAUAUCUUAAAAAUCUUGAUAUUAACUUAGAAUUCUACUUAAAGUCUUUUUAUUAUUAAAAACAUGUAUGGCAUAAAUAACACAAAGUGAUCUUUCUUUUGUAACAUGCAAGAAAUUUCUUGCACCUACAAUAAUGGAUUUGGUUGUAUUAGACUCACAAUUUUUUUUUUAUUAACAUUCUUAAUUAUUUUUUCAAAAAAAUAAAGAUUAAAAGAAAUUCAAUCUAUUUAAAGAUUAUAUUUUUUAAUAAUGAUAAAUUUGAAAUAAAUAAAUUCAAAAAAAAUCUAAUAAUUUUAAAUAUUAUAAAGCUACUAUGACCAUUAAUUGUUACUUGUAUAGGAAGGAUUUCAUGAAUAAUAUCUUUGAAAGACAAUAGAGGACAAUCUACAACUUCUACAUGAAGAAGUUUAGGUUUCUUCAUUAAAGAUAUGUUAUAUUUUUUAACAAAUUCUUCAUUUAAGAAAUGAACUAAGACUCUUGAAUCUAGUAGGAUAGAAGCUUUGUGAUAUUUAGGUCUUAAAUUAACAUCAUUGAAAAACAAUGAGAAGAUUCUAAAGAGAGAUUAUAACCUUUAUUAGGUGUUGUACAAGGUUCGAAUUGCGCAAUCUUUAUUAUAGUUGAGAAAAUUUAUUUUUUUGCAUAGUGACUUCUUUAAUAGCUAUACUCCUUAUUUUAUGGUUGUAUUGCUUCUUUGAACAAUGUUGAGUAGUCUACUUAGGUUCUCCAUAAUAUAAACACAAUCCUUUCUGGAAACAACAAGUCUUUUCUUACUCAAUGAGAAAUUUGAAACAUAUCCCAUGAAUUUGCAUAUCCUCUACUUCUAAAUAUAUGUAUUGAAAAGACGUUGUUGUUUCCAUAAAGUUGAAAUAAUAUUGAGGCCUACUUUUGCAACUUUUAAAUCAAAAUUUAAAAAGUUGGUUAUUACACUUCACAUCUAAGCUGAUUGCUUGAUUUAAUAUUUAAAGUGAGAUAAAUUAAGCAUCAAUUUUUUUACCUCAUGUUAUAAUCUAUAAAAAAAUUGAUUAAUGAGUGUAGCAUCAUCUUGAUUAAUACUUGUUGCAAGUUGUGAAAAUUGUCAAGCAUACAAUAUUAUAAAUUAAUUGCCUUAUUGUAAAAUAUGGAUCUUAUUUGUUACAACGCAAAAUGUAUCAUAUGUUCCAUAAAUGAAUCAAAACUUUGCCAAAAAAAUCUCUAAAUUAUUCAAUAUUUAAUCAUGUCAUUUAAAAAAAGAUAAAAAUCAUAAUAUUAAAAACCUAAAAGAAGUUUAUAAAUAAACUUGACUUGUAAUCUUGGAGUUAGAUAGCUUUGGAAUUAAAGUUCAAAUGUCAGUUGUACUAAAUUGAUGAAUCCUUGAAAUUUAAUCUUAUACCAUCAAACUUCCUGGAUAAGAUAAUUCUUGGUUUUUUAAUACUUGAAUUAUGUCCCACCAUAGAAAGAGUAGUAUAAUUUGAUGUAGAUAUUGAAGUAGCUCCAAUCAUUUCUAUAUCUUCACUACUUGUCAAUCUUUUUUCUCUUUGUGGUAGUAAAUUGAGUUGAUGCAUAGCAAGCAUUAACUUCUUCAAUCGCUCUUGAAUUUGUGCUAUUGCAUUUUUUAUUCACCAAGCUCUCUCAUCAUUAUACAAUAGAAAAAAAUGAUUUUUAAUGAUUCUUAAGAUAAAUAAAAGAGAAGAUUAGGAAAACAAAAUUCUGAAAAUAAUAUCAAUUUUAGAAAUAGAUUAUUCACGUCUAGAUAAUAUGCUAAUUUAAAAAUAUAUAUAUAUAUAUAUAUAUAUAUAUAUAUAUAUAUUCUUAAUCAAAAAGAGACAAAAGAAUUGACAAGAAUGUUAGCUUAUACUACAAGCUAUUUAUAAAUGCGAUAUGUAGCUAACUUAUUGGCUAAAUUUCUAAUCCAUCUAUCACCUAUAAACAAGUAUAAAAAAUAAAAUCUCAUUUAUAAAGCUUUUAGAAAGAUUCUCUAAAAGAUAUUAUGAAAUUGAUGUAUUUUUAUCUAUUUCUAUUUAUUCAUAUUAUUUAAAUAAUUAUUAGAAUUAAUAUGUAUAUCCGUGAGAAAAAUCACGAAGUUAAUGUAGUUCUUAUAUAUCUCUACAAUCUUAUUGCAACAAAAUAAAGAAGCUCUUUUGAAAAAUGUACAUUGACAAAAAAUAUAUAUAUAUAUAUAUAUAUAUAUAUAUAUGACUUAGAACAAAAUGAGAAAGAUGAAUGAAAGUAGCAAGCUAUCUAUCCAAAAAAUAAAAAUAAAAAAGAAAACAAAGGCGGGAUAAAAAUAUGAUACAAAUUCACAUCCAAAAAAAAAAUACACCUUAUGCAAUAUAUUUUUUUCUACAUGUGAUUGCAAAAGCAUCUACUGCAAAUUGGACUAUGUCAUGUAGCCAAUUGCAAGGGUGUGUGAUAUCUUAUACAUACAAAAUAUUGAUUCUCCACUUGUUGAAAUAUUCAAAAUUUAAAUUAUAUGAUGUAUUUUUCUCUAAAGCAUAUGGCAUAAUAUCUAUGUCUUUUUGUACUCAUUCUCCUCAUGUACAUAGAAAAAUUCUUUAUAAGAAGUUUAAUACUUGCAAGUACAUAUUACUCUAAUUUUGUUGCAAUUCUAGAAGAAUGUGUAUUUAUUAAAUAUUCAAGUGACAUUUUUGUGGGAUAUUAAAUAGUUCUUUAUCAUAGAACAGUUAUUGAAAAAUCUCCAACAUAAAAAGUAUCAACAACCUAUGCAUUAUUUUUCAAUUAGCUUUGGAUAUUCACAAAAAAAACUUUAAAAAAAUUGGAAAAUUUGAAGAGAUGUUGUUGCAAAAUAAUAAACAUAUAUCUUACAUGGAUCAAAAACUAAAAUCUUUUUUAUCACUCUUUUUUACUAUGCUAUGUCCUUAAUCAAUCUAGCAAAUAAAGAAGCUAUUAUUAGAUUCCAACAACUUGGUUCUUAAAAAUCUUCAUGGUUUCAACCACUUCUUAUUCUUUUUUCAAUAGUCAAUCAAAAUGCAUAUAUUUUUCUUUAUCUUAUAAAAAAUAAUUAAAAAUAACUAAUAUUUUUUCAUGUUAUAUGAAAAAUAAAAUUAUAUUUUGUGAUACUUAUGUAGGGAGUUAUUAAAGUCAUAUCUGACAUUAUUAUAUUAUGAUCAAUUUUGUCUAUCUAUAUUUUUGUCUUGUAUUCUAUGUCUUCCAUCCCUUGUCUCCUGUUUCCAAUCCCAGUGCCUUGUUUUCUAUCCUUGUCUCUUCUUUCCUAUUUCCAAAAAUCAAUCAUUACAUGGUUUAGAAGGUGUAGCUUUAAAAACAUUGAGAUGUGGCUUUAAAAUAUAUAUAUAUAUAUAUAUAUAUAUAUAUAUAUAUAAUAAUAAAUUUAAUUAUUGAUAUUACUUAAUUAAAAUCUUAAUAUUAAGUUCUAAAAAAUUAUAUAUAUAUAUAUAUAUAUAUAUAUAUAUAUAUUAAAUUAUUUCAUAAAAUAUAUUAUAACCCAUCUUUGAGACAAGAUGGUGUAUCAAAAUUAAAAUCAAAUAACAUAAUAAGAAGUAAAAGGAAAUAAUAAAUUAUAAUUUAUAUAUAAUUAAUUUUUCAUGAUAUAUUAACAUUGUGGAUUGAGAAGGACAAAGAAGAGCGAUCAUAAACAAAAGACAAGAAAGUCAUUGUUCCUUCUUUUAGACACUAAAGCACAAUUGCGUUUUUUAUAUUUUAUAUUUUAUAUUUUUUAAUCUAUUUAUCACUACAUCUUAUAUUGAAUUUUUUGAAAUUCUUUGGUAUAUUCAAUGAGAUAUUAAUGUGGUAUUUUUAUACCAUUGCAUUAGUAGUUUUGGCAUUUAUUUGAAGUUGUAGAAACUUCAAUAUUGUAUUUUGAUUUCAUAGUUAAUAUCUAAAACCAUUAAAUUUUCAUAGUACAUUUUAUCUAUAUUUUUUAUUUUUUUUCAUAAUUAUAUGCAAUUCAUUGUAGUAGUGGUGUUUUUUUCAUAAAUUUAUUAUUUAUUAAGAGUUUUUUGUAGCAAACACACAUACACACACACAUACAUAUAUAUAUAUAUAUAUACAUUUGAAGUUUUUUUUGAUUUAAACUCAUUUUCUUCAUGUUAUUUUAUUUUAUUUUAUUUUAAAAUGAGCAUUUAAAAAUACCUUUUAUAUCUUGUGUUCUUUUAAUUAAAUUGGUUGUUAUUUUCAAAAACUAUUGAUGAUCUAACUUUGUACAACAAAUUUUGAAUUUUUUAAAAAUAAUAAUAUGUAUUUAAUACUAUUUCUAUAAAAAUAAUUAUGUAAUAGGUUUUAAAAAAAUACAUACUUAAAGUUCAUACAAUAAAAUAAAAAUAUUAUAAAUUGUUAUACUUUGAGUAUGUAACCAACACCAAAGGAAAACAAUCAUGCAACAAUAAACAUUCAUACAACAAACCAUCAAAAUUUCAAAGAAUUUAACACCAAGAGAAACUAACAUUAAAAUUGACAGUAAAAUUUUAUAACGAUAGCCAACACAAUUCAGAUCCCAGAAAUACCGUUUCAAAAAACUCUCUUUCGUCAAUGGGUGUCAUUCACACACAAACCAUCAAAGUGGUUUCAGUUUUGGAGCAGAGGCCAACUGGGUACCAUUCACACUAGCGAGAUGGAAGUGGAUUUUCAGACCAGAGCCUCAACAAGCUCGAGGAAACGGGAGGGUGAUGCUGGAACCCUAAACCCCUGGCGAGGCUCGCAGGAUUAACGAACUGGCGUGAUCGCAGUAGCGUCGCCAAUUACGACCCCUUCGCUUGAUUGAAUUGUCGAAUGUGAGCCCUGGUUCAAACCUGUAGCUGAAAUUUGGUUUUGGACAGAAGGGGGAAUCGGAAUUUUCGAGCUUGGAGCAGAGAAGGGUCGGAGUGGCGAGGAGCAAUGGCGGGCGCGAGUCGCCACAUGGCGAGAUCUUUUGCUUCAGUUGCGAGAGCAGGGUUGCGGUUUAAUGGUAGUAAGACAGUCAGGAGUGGUUGCGAAAUGGGUGCAGCAGCUAGAGAAGGAUUAGGCGUUGGAGUUGGAGCGCCUCGACCUGCUGCCUCUCGGAGCUUCUCCUCAUCUGGCUCAUCUUUCAUGCAGUCUCGCACACCGACGUCAUUCUUUGGAAGGUGUGCUUGAGCGAAGCAACUUUUAUUUCAAUGAGUGUCGUAGAUGUUUGUUUGACUUGCCUUCGGCGACGAUAUGUUGUGUAUAGCUGUUUUUUAGCUGCUGAGUUUCGUGAAUUGUGUGAUGAUCUACACUUUGUUGGUCAAUGACCCUGUGCCAUUUAAGCAUAGUUCGAUUUGAUGAUCUGUCGAUCCCCCCCUCGAACUUUUGACUUGUUUUUUCUUUCCCUGGUAGCUGGGUCACCCUUGUAGCAAUUAUGUGAUAUGUGCAAUUGGAGGUUGGAUACUGAUUGCAUCUUACAAAUGGUGAGGCGGUUCUGGAAUCACAAGGUCAUGAAAGGUUAUAGAAGUUCAUGCGGCGUCUCUCGUCUUUUGCUGACUGUAACUGUCCUCUGUCAUUGUUGGUUUAUAGAUUGCCCAGAGAAAUGGCGUGCGUACUAUCUUUACUGCCUUUGCACAAUGCAACAGCUUCAUCGCAAAUCGUGUCCCAGCUCCGCUCCUCACCAGGCGCUCUUCUUCGGGGUACGCACAUGGAUAUUUCGUGAUGAGUUUUUUUUUUUUUUUUUUUUUUUUUUUUUUUUUUUUGUCAGCAUUGCUGCUAUUAUAAUAAAGAAGAAAAAAGAAAAAAGAAAAAAGAAAAAACCUCAUCAACUGACUUACUUUAUAGAAGUCUCUGGAGUAGACUUCGAAAGAGUGGUCGUCAUGGGUGGUUUGGUGAAAUCCCGAGUGCAGCAUUACAUUUUAAAAAGUUUCAAGAACGUAACGAUUGGUGAAAAGGUUAUCUCUUUUGAAAGCGGGCAUCAAUAUCUUCAUACUUUAUCUCUCUCCUUGCUUGCUUCCUCUUAUGUAGUGCUUUCCAUAUAUGUGGUAAAGUUGUGGACAUGUGCGUGUACGAAUUUGAGAGCGGGAGAGAGAGAGAGAGCGAGAGAGAGAGAGAGAGGGGGAGAGACAGUAUAGGCAGCCAACUUAAUCCCCUGUCAGAUUUAUUCCUUCGUUACGCCUUUGGUUGCAUAUUGACACUUGAUAUAUAAAUCAGGUUUAUACCGCGCAGAUACUGGUUUAUCAACAGAAACGCUGAAGUGUUGACGCUGUUAUGCCUGUUUAAAAAUUUGUAUUCAUCUGUUCUGUUAUUUUAUUUUACUGUCAGGGACGAUACUGCGCUUUUGUAAACGACAUUGACUUGUGUGUACCCAAAUAAGGAUCGAGAUAGCGUACAGUUCAUGAGUGUGAUGUAGAAUUGGAGACAUGCAUGCAGAUGGUGAGGACACCACGUGAGCGCAUAGUUGCAAAUCUGUUUCUAUUAACCUGUUUCACAUCUCAACAAAUAUUAGAAGCAAGUCCAUAGAGUGUUAUAUCAAGACCUAUGUCAACAAAACAUACUAGUACUUCAGCUUGUUAAAUUUCAUAUUCUGUUCUAGGUGACGUACCAAGUCCUUUAUUUCUGGUCUCCUCCAUACUAAUCAUGCAUGUUUCACUUAAGGGUACUACACGUGGUAUUGAAUCCUGCGCUUGUCAAGGUGCUUAGAAGUUAUGAGUAAACGACGUGGCUAAAUGUGCUUGACACGACGUGAUUUAGGCGCAAUUUUCACCCUAACCUAGAGCGGUAUUUAACUUCAUUGGUUGCCACCUGCUUUCAUUAUCCCAGUUUGUGCAAUAUAUCUGUAGCAGAUUGUCUACAAUACGAUUGAAUUAUAUUGAUGGUGUUCAUCCUGCCAGGACUGUGGAUUAUCGACGAUGUCUGAUAAGCAAUACCCGAGACUUUUCCUCGCUGCGGUUUCUGGCUGAGAACCAUUUGGACCUAGUUUGGAGAGCUGAAGGGUAGUGAAGCUUGAGUAGAACCUAAUAAAGUUCACCAAACACACAAACCAUGGCAGAACUGAAAAUGGGUUUUAGAUGUCAACCUCCACCUCGCCUUCCUAGUAAAUUAUGUGCAGUUGCGGAUUUGUAGAGCAGAGUUGACCUGCACUGAUCUCUCAUGUACUUAUUUCAAACACUUAAUGCAGUUGAUUUUAUACGAACUUUGUGAGCUAGAAUUACAAGUAUUUUUGCUCCAGUUGCUUUCAAAAAAGUGGUAAACAAUCCUAGUAAGAUUCUCAAUUCAAGUUUUGCAAGUUCUUGGCCUUAAAACUUCAAGUAAUUUCUAGCCAAUUACACUUAGGCAAUUCAUGACUAUAUAUUUCCACAAUUUUAAAAUAAAAUAUAAUAAUAAGAAGAAAAAAAAGCGAAGGAAGAGAGAACAUUAAUGUGCACAAUAGAAUUAUUGGUUUGAUAGGGUUUUUCAUUUUUCUUUAUUUAUUUAUUUUAUCGAUAAUUAAACUGUUUUGUUGCGUUUUUCGAAGCCUCAGAACAUUGCGGAGGUAGUGCAUUGGGUGAAGUUGAUUCCGUCGAAAGGGGCGAGAAUGAGAAGACAUUAAAAUUGCUUCUAAACCAAUAUGAUGCAUGUCACGUGCGCAGCUGGUGUAGUGGCAUCAUAGUACCCUCCCACGGUACUGACCGGGGUUCGAUUCCCCGGCUGCGCAACCACGAUGUUCUUGGCAGCCUCGACAUCCGUCACUCUCGAGAGGGAGGCGAUUAGCCUUUAGAUCGUGGCCAUAGACAUGCUCCGGCGAGGGCGGAAAUGCUAGGGCUCUUGCGGCCCAAUUUAAUGUCAAUGCUCUUGCAUCUCCAAUUAAAUGUCAAUUGUGCUCGGUGCAGGAAGCGCCGGUGUGCGCGCCCGAUCAUAUCACCGCCCACACAAUUGUGGUCUUGCCCAGCGGCCCUAUACUCCAGUUCUGAGCAUUCCCCGCAAAAGCUAUGGCUCAUUUGCUCACUGUCCAUCCCUCACCUCGCCGGUUUCGCUCCUGCUGUCUACAAUGUCUCUUGGUCCGGCUAUCUUCAUCCCAAGCCUUAUUUACAUAAACCAAGAAUGUUGGACUUUGGAUCCCUCUCAAAGUGCACAGUGGACCUGCACUGAUUUUUUCAUGCACUUAUUUCUAGCCCUUGAUGCAGUUGAUUUGAUACGAAUUUUGUGGCUGGUUUCUUCUUGUUACAGCUGCCCAUUUCAACGGCACUACUUAAGUUCCGAUACCCAAUUGGAUCUGUAGCAUGCAAGCUUUGGAUAUGCGAGUAAUUUGUGACCAUAUGAUCAUGUUGGACAUUUGUAUUCAAAUAUAUAUAUAUAUAUAUACACACAUACAUAUAGAGUUAUUCAAGCAUGUUUUUGUUUAUUACGUCUUUUGAACUACACCAUUAGUUUAUGGAUUUUAAAUCUUAAAUCUCACUAUUGUACCAUAAAAUUGGAAUGUUUUAGAAAAGAUUGAAAUUUUAACACAGUAUUAGAUUGCAAGAUGAUCAUAAUUACAAACAGAUAAAAUUUAUGGGAAUGUAAAACUAACACAAAGAAGUAAAUAUAAUUUGAAAUACUUUUUUUUAAGUUAGCAUUCUGAUUGUUUCAAAUUUGAAUUGACCAGAAAAUUCAUGUAGUAUAAAAUCACUGCAGAAAAAUCAAGUAAUUUCCCCUUUACCUGUUGAACUAAUUCUGAACAAUUUCAAAUCAAUGAUCUUAAAUUGGAAUAAACAAUUUAUUGACCAACUUAAGUAUGGAAAGGUUGGAAACUCUUUGAGAAUCAUACCAUGAAUUAAUGAUAAGGUUAAAAACAAAAACGUUAUCCAAUUGCCACUUUGAAUGUUGAAAUUUACAGUUUUAUUUAUUUCUUAAAAUAACAUUUACUAUUGAUUUGUAGAGCACCUUGAUACCUCAUUGUAAUUGAGAUGGAUUCUUUUAUUUAUUUUUAUUCAUUUUUAUUUAUUUUUAAAUUACCAAUGGUUGUUGAAUAUCGAUAUACAUCAAAAACUUGCAUUUGAUAUACUUCCAAAGCAAAGACAGCAAAUAUUAAUUACAUAAUAUAUUGUAUUGAUUAACGUGUAAUGAUUUGUAUUAUGAUGUUUAUAGAAGUGUGAUGAUGUAACUAAACUAAGCUAAUUUACAAGACAAAUGGUUGUAUGUUACUAUUUGACUCGUAAAGUUUUGCAACAAAAAGGAUGUGGUCGCGUUUUCCGACACCCAUCUGGUUCCGUAAGAACCACCUCGCGCCGUGAGCGCAGUGUCGCGACGAUUAGCUCGUCGACGGGAAUUGGGUUCGCCGAAACGUCAACCAACUGUUAUGCUCAUCGCAUUUUCGUGAUAAAAUUACGAGCAUAGAAGCAUUUCCUCGAAUAAACUGCAGCCAGCGGCUGCUAUUUUCAUCAUCGGACGCGCUUCCGUGAAGGCUUGAUUGAAUUGCGAGCCACGAGGAGCGCAGAUGCGCUUGCGGUGACAGGAUACCUCCGCUUUGCAGAUUAAGGAGCACAUUAGAACCUUCAUGUGGGAAGUUCCAUCCUUCAGGUGAUGGAGGUUUUGGUCGGAGCAGCAGCAGCAGUAGGGCCCGUUACUGGCUCAUUUGACUUCGAGCUUAGCGCUUCCUCGUCGCGGAGCGUUUUCGGGUCCAGAUCCGGGGAGUGAUACAUCGCAGUGUCGUAGCUCGCGUGCAGGCCGAAGAAGAAGUAGUACACGAGCAUGAGCCCCGUCCAGUAUCCGAACCGGACGAAGCUUGCCCGGUCCAGAGAGCCGAGGAGGAAGACGUUAAAGGCGAUGGAGAGAGACGGAAUCCAUGGCACCAACGGGACCCCCCAUGUCUUCGGCUGCCGGAGAGGUUUUAGGGUUGUGUGAAGCGCGAGCGUGGCCAGGAACCAGAUGGGUCCACACACAGCGUACACGAUAUAGCCGCUUUUGUUCAUUCCCCAGAAAGCUGCGAUUACGAUGGAGGCAGCGAUGAUGAUCAGCAUGUAGGUGAUGAAGAGACCGCCAUGCUUGGGAGACGUUUCCCCGGGGACGUAGUAGCGGCGCACAAGGAGCGCCACUGCCACUAGGAAGAAGAUGAACAAGGAGGACAUGGAGAGGAGGUUGCCAAGGAUCGGGAGGUCUGUGAAGAAGCCAACGAUUGAGCUCGCAAGGAUCAUGGUGACGGUGGCAUUAAUUGGAGUUUGUGUGCGCUUGUUCACGCGGGCAAACCACGGCGGGAUCAUAUGUGAGCGGGCAAUGUGCGUGAGGUACCGAGCUUGUCCAACUGCGGAGACCAACAAGACAGUAGUGAUCCCUUUCAACGCGCCCAGCGCCACAACGUACUUGGCCCAAUUCCAACCCACACUCGAAAACGCCACCGAGAAGGGAGCCCCUUCGUCGAUAUCCGUGAAGGGUACCAUGAGGGACAAUGUCAAAGCCAUCAUGAUGUAGAUGAAGGUGCAGAUGACCAUGGACCCGAGCAAGCCAAUCGGGAUGUCUCGCCCUGGAUUCUUCACCUCCUCCGCCAUCGUUGAAACUGCAUCGAAGCCAAGGUACGCGAAAAACAAGACUGACGCUGCACUGAAUAUGCCCCGCGCUCCGUAAUGGAAGAAGUCGUCGGUGAGAUUGUGGGAAUGCGAAUGCGCCAGACCAGCAACAAUUACGAAGGCGAUAAUGAACAUGUUUAAUAUGGACGCGAUCCAAUUUACAAAUGAUGUUCCUUUUGUGCUCCAUGUCGCAAGCAAUCCUGUGAAAUUCACCAAAAACCAUCUCUUCAGAAACUACUAUUUUUCUUUCAAAUCAAAGGACGUGCCACUUCUUCCUAAAAGCAGCGCCAGACGUCGAGCCUGAGCGAAGACGAUAUUUUUGCUCACCGACAAGUAUGAGCACGCCAACAGCAAUGGGAUCGAGCUUGUUGUAUCCCUCGGCAAGGUCAGUGUGAAUUCGAAGUCUGUCGCCAACGUCGAUGCCACUAAAGAUGAGGGAAGCGAAAUAGGAGGUCCACCCCCUAGCGACGGCAGCACCACCUAUGACAUAUUCGAGGACAAUGUUACCUGCGCCGAUGAAAGCCACAAAGUCGCCAAGCUCCACCCGCAGGUAUGCAAAAGACCCCCCUGCGUAGAGAUAAUGCAAUGAGAUAUUCUUGUCGUCCUCGUGUUCUUCCUAAUUUUCAUGAAGAACUCGGUGCGCGAGGAGAGUAUCGCAAAGCAGGUAGAUACAAAGAUGAGGCGUCAAAAGACACUUACCAGCGACAGGGAUCUCAACAGCGAAUUCGGUGUAACAAAAAACGCUCAACAUGGCAGAGAAUCCAGCUAUGGCGUAGGAGAUGACAAUAGCUGGGCCAGCAUAGUUUUUGGCCUCCACUCCGGUGAUAACGAAGAUGCCUGCGCCGACAACAGCUCCAAUCCCGAACCACAUGAGAUCCCACCAGUUCAAGUUUUUCUUCAUGUCCACAUUGCUGCGGGCCUUCAUGGAGAUCACCUCUUCGUUCACCUCUGUGCGUGCAAAUACCCGAUCCUUCAAUCUGCUGGGUGUGGCGGCAAGUGCCCGUCUGUAGUUCCCCCAGCUUUGGAAAGACUCCUCCGGCAGCCAUGACCCUCUCAUUGUCACGGUGGCCUACCGCUCUAGCUACACAACAGCAACAAAGAAGAUUUUUCAAUUAACCAUUUCUCGCAAGAGCUUGUCAACUUCGUGAUGUCCUCAACGCCGAAAGAUGUGACGUAGUUAAUCUGGUGGGUAGUGUAGAAAACAAUCCUUACUACCUCGAGAGGAAAUUCUUAAAAACAGAAAGAUGGGGAUAAAAACCCAUUGACACUGCAUAGAAAGGCCACAGGGGAAUCAAUAACCAAGAGUCGUGACGAUGGUCAACCAUACCAUCACUUCAUGCAUUUGGGUAUUCAUGAGAAGCGUACUGGACCGAGUUCGAUGCUGUAGACGUUGACAGUGUGAGGGUUAGCAGAUGGAGUUCUGGAAACAAAGAUAAGCAAUGAGUCUAGUCCAGAGCUAGCAUAAAUUCUUUUCCGUCUGGCUUGACACAAACUUGAAAAAGCUUGAAGGGGGUGAUCAAACUUCUUCUGAUUACAAGUCACGCGACAGGCUCAUGUGAAUCUCAAGGCUUAAUGGAAAAGAUUUACGGCCAUUGAUGGUUAAUUGCGGCAAUCUUCACUUGCAAUCAACGCCAGCUCUUAGCAAAUAUCACCAUGCAUGCUCCGCAGGAACUGUCAAAUUUAGGAGCAUCGGAAAUAUCAUUGUACUUUUGGAGCUUCAGCCACUCCCAAAUUAAGAAACAGAAUAGUUGUGGCAAGGUUUCUAGAUUCACAAAAAAAAAAAGCAAAAAGACAGGCUUCAUCGUCGGUGCUUGUUCCAAUUCUUGUCUUGUGAUGAAAGGGAAAUGAAGAUUCUGGAAAGCGACAAAGCAGCCUCGAAGGUGAAUUCUACUCUCCUGACAUGGAACAUUUCGUCACAACUGAGACAGUGGAUUGAGAGUUAGCCAUGGCAGGUACAUUUACUUUAUUCAGCUGCUCAGUAAGGAAAAAUACGCUUGUCCCCACUUAAUAACACGAGAAACUUCUCUCCUCUCAGAUGAAGAUGACUUGACCUCUGUAUGUCUGGGGUCUCACAAGAUCAAACUACAGGAGAAUUCUUUCUGUUUUGUAAGCAAGAAUCUGGAACUAAAGUCUAUCACAUUUAUACGCCACUUCGUAAGGUCUAAUAAACGAGGGGACAGGUCAAAUCGAUUGAAACCAACGCCAUGGAUUCGGCUGCAGUGGAUCUGCGGAAAGAGGAGCGGGCAUCCUCACGGUGACUCAUCUCUGAACAGGCAAUCACUAAACAACUCCAAAAAUGGUAAAGUGCGAUUGAAGUGAAAUAUCUUACUGCUCGACAACCUGGAGUUGCUCGGCGACGACCGCGAGUGCGAGUUCAAAGGAAUGCAACCGGGUUGGCACAGCUCAUUAUCCAAAUAGAGGGUAAGGUCGGCGCUCGUGAGGAUGAACCCUCGUGCUCUAAACAAAACUUGGUUACUUCGCUCCACAGUUCCAUCUCCACACAGCCAACACUUUACUUUCGAGUGAAAAAAACGAAAAGCAGCAAUAACACACACAGGAUGCGGUCAUCAGCAACACUGAACACAGCCAGGUAACCCAGCUAGCAUUAUUUCCCAAAGUCGAAUGGAAUCCUGCCGGAGCGAUAAAUAACAAAACCCUGAGGGCGGCAUGGCGCCGAGUGGUCAAACCGAGAAUGCAAGACCAGCGAGAAAAACCCACAGCUGAAAGCGAGUUCAGCGACAAAUAACCCACCCGCCACUUUGGGACUGUUGUUGCUAUUGUGACAACAGUUCAACCCAUGGUUCAAUUUAAUGCUCCGACUUCUCACCGCCCACCUACAGCAUGAAUUCAGACCCACUUGCCAAAACUGGGCCAGUGUGGGAAUCAGUGCAGGCGACGAACAUCCGACGACAGUGAAAGGCUACAUCCAAGCAUCGGUCAUUCCAUCACCCCAACCGUGGAUUCGUCACAUGUGGUUGGGGUAGGGUCCAUUUCGUUAAUGAAGAGGCCAUGGUCAAAUCGAAGCCAGCUGGUGCAGGUGCAUCGAUGGGUUGUGCUACCGUGGAUUGUUUACCGUAGAUUUUAUCAGGCGCCGUGCGAUGACUGUCGCGGGGGGGGGGGGGGGGGGAGUGGCGGUGGCGAUGGCAGGUGGCCAGGACGACGCCACUUUGCAGGAAAGAGUGUGCUCGCCGUGAAGAGACACCCGCAAGCUUCCUCCAUAUCCCAAAUUAUCAUCGUGUACGACGACGACGACAACGAUGCUUUUAAAUCCUAAUCGAGCCUUAAACCCUAAUUGAGAAGAGUUUGUGUGCAUAAUUUGGAUUGUUGUCAUUGAUGGGGGGAGUUGCUGGUGGCAGUGCAAGGUGCUCGUGAAAUUUAUGGUGUAUGGAAUAUAUAUAUAUAUAUAUAUAUAUAUAUCUUUUUAUUUAAUUAUUUAAUUAUAUAGAAAGAGAGGGAAUUGUUAAAUUCAUCCACAUAUUUAUUAAACUGACCCAUCCAUCCUAACCAUCAUCAAAAAAUUCUCCAUUACUGGAUUUAAAUUGGUUGAAAACCAAUGAAAAAAUGGUUGGAUCCUCAAUCAAUAUUGACACGUGGGACAAUUUAGUAAAUGCUUGAGUAAAUUUAAAAAUUCUCUAUAUUUGUAGAUAGAUAGUAUGAGGGGUUUGUAUUAAGGAAUUGAUUUGGGGGUUCAAAAGUCUUGUGAUUGAUUAGAGCUGUUGUUGUGGAGGGAGAGAGUAAGAAAUUAAAAUUGCAUUGAAUAGGUUGCAUUUCUCUUGGUUAAUAUGAAUGCACCUAUUUUUUACAUGGCAUGAACACUAUUGUUUUUUGGAAUUUGUGGUAGGUCUACCUUAAGAGAUGGUUUUACAAAAAAAUAAGAUGUGAAAAAAAUUGAAUAAAAUAAUAAAAGAAUUAAAUUAAAUUAACUUUAUGUUUUAUGUUUGUUAUACUUGUAAGAAUUAAGAUAUCAGCUUGUAACUCCAGACUUGAAAUAAAAGAAUAAUUUUAGUUCAUUUCAUGGUUACUAAUCACUUCAUAUUAGCUUCAAAUGCUAAAGCUUUCAAACAAGAGUUUUUAUUUACCAAGUAGGAGAACCCAUGAUACAAAAGCCUUACAAAAAAUCUUACAAAAGUUUCACAAACAUAAACAAAGUCAUGGUACAAAAGUGGCACAAUUUUUUUCUUUGAAGCUUUUGUACCAUAGCCUUUUAAAGUACACUUUUAAAUAUGAAGAACCCAUUCAAUCCAUCACAAUAUUUCUAUAUAAUAUCAUGUUGUGCAUUUAUUUGUAUUUUAGGUUUAAACUUACAUUCAUACCAUUUAAUUACUUUUUAAAAUAUAUAUAUUAUUUUUUAUUAUGUUGGUCUUAAUCAUACAUGAUUAAAAAAAAUAAAAAAACUAUAGAUAACACAAUUUUCAAAAUUUUCUCAAAUAAAAACAUCUACUAAAUUAUUUUAGAAGAAGUUGGCAAUAAUUUUUUGAUAUGUGAAAUGUGUUUGUGUGUAUAUAUAUAUAUAUAUAUAUAUAUUAAAAAUAUAAUUAUAUACGUAUAGUAUUUUUUCUUACAUUUUUAUUUUUAUUAUAAAUUAUGGUACAUAAAAGCACACUUAUAUACAUAUUUAAAUAUUCUAAAAACAUUUAUCAUCUAAAUUUAUUUAAAGCAAAAAAUAUUUUAUGAUUUUUUAUAAAAAAUAAAAAUUAAUUAAUUAAUUAUUAAUGAAUUUAGAAUGGAUGUAAUUAUUUAAAUUUUCAUUACAUUUUUAAAUGUCAAAAAAUCUAAAGGAGUCAAACAGAGUCAAUUAUAAUAGUGUGGAUUUGAUUUAUUUCUUUUAAAAACUAUUCGGUAUUUUAAUUAUUCUAUAGUUUUAUUAUAGACUAGAUUAGAAUAUAGAAUCUCAAGCAACAAAGUCAAAAAUUGAAAAAUCUAUUUUUUAAAAAAAGGUUAUUAAGAUUUGGUUUAAUGAGAAGAUUUAAUCCCAAUAGGAUAAAUUGAAGUUUUGGUUUACUUUUCAUUGAUAUUAUUUACUUGUUAUAAAAACUUAUGUGGAAGUAAAUGUCUAGAAGAGGUCAUGUACAACUGAUGGGAUCAAAUUAAAUAACAUACCAUAUUUUUAAAUUUUUUGUAUGUAAUUACAUCUCUGUGGCAUACAUUAAAUGAACGAAUGAGAUCAUUAUAUUUGUGAUUCAAUUUCUAUUCAAAAAUUGUUUCGGAAAAUCAAUUAUCUUGUUUUUUUUUUUCCCAAAGAAAUUGAUUCAAGAAAGUUCAAUUAAACAUUAUAUAAUCUAUACUAAUUUGUUGUACGAGGCAAAAAGCGGUGUGAGAGACUCUUCGGACCUAGACUAGAUGAACGACCUAUCUAUUGGAUUUGUUUUGGCUAAGCAGAGUUCUAUACGCAUUUCAACUCUAUACACAAUUCUUACAUCUUAACAAAUAAGAAACUUAAAUCUCUAAUUAUGGUCUUUAAACUCUCAAUUAAGAUUCUAAAAUCCUAAAUUAUAAGUGAAAUACAUACUUUCGAAAAAAAAAAUAUUAGUAAAAGUCUUUGAAAAAAUAUAAGCCUUGGUAAAAUUUUAGAAUAGAAAAAAUUGUGAUAAAUUGUGAGAUAUUUAGAAUCAAAAACCUCAAGAAUAUUCUUGUAAUCCUAAAUCCUAAACCCUAAAAUCCUAAAUCGUAAAUCCUAAAGUAUGCUCAUUUUUUAGAAAUACAUAUAUAACAUAAAUUCUUAAUACUUAACUCCUAAAUUCCAAAUCUUAAACCCUCAAAUGAAUCCAAUGAACCUUUUAAAAAUUUCAAAAACCUUUGUAUGACAAAAGUCAAUAUCUUAAAGUCUAAAUCAAAGUAGCUAUAUCUUUUAAAUUAUGAAUAUGUAUAGGAAAAUAAAUACACCAUUGAAAUCCUAGAUGCCACAAAUAGGGAGGUAGAUCAAGUCAAAACCUAAAAAUAUUAAUGCCUAAAAAUCGGACACACCUUUAUAAUCCUAAAUCCUAAAUCUUAAAAAGAUAUAUACCUACAUAUUCUAUUUAAAAUAUUAUUAUUAUAUAUAGGUACUUCUAUGUAUUUAUUACAUAUUUUUUUAAAAAAAAUUGUCAUAUAUUAAUCAAAGACAACUUUUGUGAUUUUGAAAACCUCAUAUCUCUUAAACUAUAAACUUGCUCAAGAUUUCAAAUAUACCAUUAGAAUCAAAAGCAUUGUAAAUAGUGAGGUAGGUCGAAUCAAAACUUCAAAAAGACAAAGUACAAAAAAAAUCAACAGAAAAUUGUAUCAAGUCAAAUGCCUUAUAUUUCAAAAUUAAAAAAUAUGUAUAAGAUUUCAAGUCCACUACUACAUUUCAAGAUCCUUAAAAUAGAAAGGUAGGUUAAUUUAAAAUUCAAAAUUUCUUAUUCAUAUUCAAAGUCAACUCAAAAGUCAAAAUAAUCAAAUACUUAAUAUCUCCAAAUGUAUGCACUUUUUGAAAACUUCAAGUACAUGUUUAAAAUUGACGAUUCUUAAAUGGAUCCAAUGGACUUUUCAAAAAUUUCAAAAACCUUUGUAUGAUAAAAAUCAAAAUCCUAAAAUCCAAGUCAAAGUAGUUAUAUCUUUCAAACUAUGAAUAUAUAUAGAAAAAUAAUUAUACUAUUAAAAUUCUAGAUACCAUAAAUAAGAAGAUAGGUCAAGUCAAAAUCUAAAAAUAUUGAUGCUCAAAUAUUGGAGACACCUAUGUAAUUCUAAACCUUAUAUCCUAAACCAUAAUUCCUAACUCAAUUGAUUGCUCUUAAAGUAGCUCUCAAUGAAAGCACCAAUAUGUUGUAGUAAGAUUCUACUUUAGAUAGAUGUAGGAUUCUACUUUGUAUUUAAGUUGGGUCUAAUAUGCACAAAACCUUCUUAGAUUUCCCAUUGAGUAUUUACAAAACUAUAUUUGUAAUAAAUGAACAAACUUGAAGCUUGAAAAUUUAUUAUCCAAGAUCUAGCUAUUCAAAUAAGCUUAAAAUUUGAAAGUAUGGGAUUUAUAUCUUUAAUCAUUGUCACACAAAUUCUUAGCCACAAAUUUAUUACCAAUUAUCUAAUAUCACCAAUCGUCUAAUAUCAUAUUUUUAAAAAUGUAUCAUUUUCUCAUUAUAACUCAUAAACUUCUUUUCAUACAAUUUUAUGUGAGAGUAACUAUGGUCUUGGAGAUGCGAUUACAUGAACAAUUUUGAAUACUGAUUUAUUUUUUAAUUUUUUAAGCUUAUUAUUUCUUUAAAUAAAUUGAGUGUUGAAUUCCAUCCUAUGUUAGGCUCAUAUGCUUAAAUUCUUAAGACGUAAAUAUCUAUAGAAAAUUAUUGACUAAAAUUAACAAAUAAAAUAACUCAUGUUCAUGCAACUUUUUAUUAUAGCAUCUUCUUUUAUAGUGAUGAUUGCUCUUACAACAAAUAGACAAAUGUGAGACCAACAAGGAUAGAAAUCAUACACUUGUGCAUUUAGGGUUUAGAUUUCUACAUGGAUCAUCAAUCUUUUGAGUCAAGACAACACCUACAGCUACUAGAGUUGCAAAUGAGAUGGAGAUUGCCACUAACACCACAGCCAUCAAUAACAGUUCUAUUGUUAUCAAGGAGGAGAUUAAUACCAAGAUUGAAGAUGUUGAAUUUGCAUAUUACAUUGCUGUGAUCUUACCCUAGUAAGAUAUAUUUUUAUUUUUUAUUUUUGUUCAAUACACUGUUUUGGAGCUAUUUUUUCAAACAUGCAAAAAUCCAAAAGCAAUAAAAGUACAUUUGAAAUUGUAUAUAAAACAAAAAUAGAGAAGAAAAGAUAUGAGCUAUAUUUCUGCAAUAGUAUCAAAAAAAAUAAAAAAAUAAAAAAAGGCUUGUGUUCACUUGGUUGCUCUAAAGUGCUCAGAACAUGAUUCAUUCUAGCCUUUUGAUUCCUACUGCCAACUAGUUCAUGUUCCCAAAGUAUUCAAUGAAUGUUUAGGAAUUGAUAAAAAAAAAAUUGUAUACUUGAAGAGGAAGAUCCCAAUUAAUGGAAUAGACAUUCAAAAAAGUUGGAAAUAAAAUUGGGUGUCAAACAAUAGGUAUAUGUGGACACAACAAUUCUGGGCAAUCACUGAACGGCAUAUGAUCGCAUUGCAGCAAAUAGUUGUAUUAACUAAAAUAUAAUUGCUAUCACAAGUGAACUUAUAUUGCAUUCUUUGGGAUGACGUUCUGUUCAUCUUAGAGCCAUUCUUUUCAAUUCUUUUUCUUACUUCGAGUAGAGUAUUACAUGAAUCACAGCAUUUCUAGACCCUGAAGUGGAAAGUCGUAGUCAAAAAUAUAUAAGAAAAUCCUAGUGUACCAAAAUAAAAUCCUUGCUGAUGGUUGAAAGGUGGAGAAUAUGAGAUUCUAAGCUGCCAUGGGGGCCACAUGACUUAGAAAGGAAGGUUUGAAAAGCCACACUAGAUGGAAGUUUCUACUAGCUUCCGUGUCUGACAUUGAAGAAAUUAUUCAACUCUUUGACAGUCCAUCACUUUAGAGCCCAAAGUCAGGAUCUGUACUUCAUGGUAGUGUAGAAAAUUGGGUUUUGCUUGGAACGGACAUUUGGUUGCUCUUUCACACUGGAGAGAUAAAAUCAGUUCUACUGUUGGUAUUCUUUGGAACACCAUUCGGGGAAAAAAAAAGAAAAAAAGAACAAACACACACACACACAAACAUUGAUACCUCAAUAAGGUUUGGAAAAGACAAAAAACGCAGUGACACGGUUUGGGUACUCAAAAAAAUAAUGUUUGAUUGAUCUUCUACUAGAACCUUUCGGGUCUCAUUGCAUUUGGCACACAAUCGAUGAAGUGUGAGCAAAGAGAAACACAGGACAUGAUCCCUUGUUUCCACAUCUGGUGUUGUCAGAGGAUCUACCUAGAAUACAUUCUAAUAUGUCACUGCUUUUGUAUGAAAAAAAAAUAGUAAGAUGCCGAGUGUAUGCUGAGACCAAAAAAUUCCCCCUUUCCAAUCCCUGCUUUCAAUAAAUGCAGAGAUUCGCCUGCUCCUCCACCGCCACUGCAGUGGUGGAAUGCGAUGACCCGAAAAUCCACAGGAGCAUAUUGUGGGUGCUGAUGAUUAGGAUUUCACCCACGCCAAAUCAUUCAUGGAAAUCGUAGUAAAGACUCUGGAGCAGGUAGAGGGUAGGGGUAUUUUAGCAGUUCGUCGCAACAUCAGGGCCACAUGCUCAGUUGGUUUUGCCAUGCUUUGUCUUAACAGUGCGAGACUCAGCUUUUCUCAUCAUCCUGCUGAAGGGUCCCACAGUAGCAUCCGUGAUGUACUUGUAAAUCACAUACGACCACGAUGUGUGGUGGCCUAAGUCUUCGUAAAAUUCAGGAGCGAUUUGCCUCACCUAUACGUGAAACAGAGACAGAAUAAAGUCAGCAGAUGGUUUAAUGCACCCAACCUACACACCCGCACGAUGCACCGUAUGCUGAACAACCUUCUAUAAAGACUCAACCUACACGCCCUCACUAGUACAAGCUUUCGCCGUUCUAUACCACCUAACUGCAACACAUCACUAAGACAAACUGAUUCGACAUUGUGAGCAAGGUUGAAGAGUUACACUUGGAAGAGAUGUACAAAAAAGUCAGGAUAAUGUUAGCAAACCGUCGGAUUGCUAAGAACGCAAGGAGUGGUGUACGUCCGAACUAACCCGGUGUAGCUUGCAACCAGGAAUUCGAGGGAAGUCAUGGUGCUCCACGUGAUAGCCGACAUUCCAGGUGAGCAUAUUAAGAGGACCAUAAUAAGAAUAAGUUUCUUGUCCUUUCAAAAAUACGUAGUGCUCCGCGAUGAAGUGCCCCGCAAUGGGGUGCAUACCACCUCCGAGAAACGUUGCGAGUAGCAAAUACGCGAGAGCUUUAACGCCCGCGAAGUAUAACAAACAAGCAUCAAACGCCACUUGACAAAGAAGAUUCGAGACUUCCCAGAAACCUGGUUUUUUGGGAUUCAGAAAGAGAGGCCUGAACGCAUAGAAGAACAAUUGGCAUAACACCCACGCAAUCUUACUGAAGACAUUCGUCACCAAGCGACCUUCCGUGUAACUGGGAAUAUCCAUAUCCAUACCUUCCACUCCUUGAUACUUGUGAUGCUCAAGAUGGUACUUCUGGAAGGUUACCGACAUAGGGAUGCUGAUUGGCAGAUUCGCGAAUAUGCCAAGCAACCGGUUGUAAACAAUCGUCGAGAAGGCCAGAUUAUGACUUAGCUCAUGAAUAGCAAGAAACAAGUUGUGAUUCAAGAAUGCUCCAAAAAAGUAGGCUACCGUUACUACAACUGGCCACCUCGCCUCUUGCAUGAGAGUUGCUGUCCAUAUCUGAAGCAAUACAAUGGCUACAAUCUGCACAAGACAUGGAUAUGAUAGUGUGAAAAUCAAUCAGAACCAAAAUCUACGGCACAGCGUUGUCGACUGUAGGGGCUACAUUGAUUAUUACAAGAAGAAAAUAAAAGAAAAUAAAAAUAAGAAAAACAAAGAAGAAAAGAGCCGGCUUCACAAAUAAACAUAUCUUAAAUUUCAAAACAGAGUCAUCAAAUUAUUUCUAAAUGUAGGAUUUGAGGUUGAAGUUAAUCUAGUGCCUCGUAAACCUUGCAUACAGUUUGAAAACUGGCUAUACUACCAGAUAGAGUAAUUUCAACAUGGCUAUGAAGUGAUUCCUGGAAGCAGAAGAGAUACAAAAAAUUGAACAUGAAAAAUUGAUAAAUUGAUAAACAGAUAUAAAAACAAGGCGAAAGUUUAAAUCACGCCUAAAAGUGAUUUACUACGAAGAAAUCAGAGGUGCACUGCAAACAAUGCAGAAGGACCAGGAUGCCUCCAACCCUAAUCCUGACUCUAAGAAAGAAAAGUAUAGAGAGAAAUGCAGUGAUGUAUUAAAAGCCAUUUUGAGCAAGAUGGCACGUACGCAAACCAAGAUUGGUUCUCUACGCACGGACCUGACAGGGAUCAACAUAACAGAAUGCCAAACCCUGGUUGAGAUGAAUAUCAGGACAUCUUAAAAUUACCACACCAUUCAGAUGCCAUUGUCUUUUUAUAGGCCCAAGCGUCACUAUUUAAGUGCCAACUACUGUGAUAAAAACUCAAACAAACAAACAAACGGUGGAGGAUUUAGCGCAUCCUCUCACAGAACAUGAUUGACAUGAAAUGUCGCUACAACUUUCAUUAUGUUGCAAAGGCAAACCUAGGAAUGCUACCAUUCAUGCGAGGGGUAAACCUCAUGACAAUAAAAAAUGUCUACAACAAACUACCAACAUACCUCAACCGCAUUGGAUACGCAUAAAUUCCCGCAAAAGCAUGUGGAAAGGGCUCCCAAAAACCUAUUUCG